rnacentral:lncRNA from 1 species
AGGGUGACCAGGGUUGUGACCAUAAUGUGGUGGCUUCUCUCCCUUAGGUGGUUUGCCAACUGGGGUUGGUGGCUUGUGUUCUGGGAGUGGCUUCUCCCCCUUGGGAGGUUUUUCCAAUGGGGUUGGUUUGUGUUCAGGAGGUGGCUUCUCCACUGGAGGCUUGUGUUCAGGAGGUGGCUUCUCCACCGGAGGCUUGUGUUCAGGUGGUGGCUUCUCCACCGGAGGCUUAUGCUCUGGUGGUGGCUUCUCGAAUGGGGGAUGCUUAGGAUAAUCAGCAAGUGAGGGGGCGGUGAGAACCACCAGGCCAAGCAACACCACUAGCAAAUAUGUAGGAGACAUCUUUGGGUUUGGGCUCAGAUGGUGCAAAACUAGGAGAAUUGGCUAGCCUUUUAUAGCGGAUCGUACCCAAUAAUGAAAUGACACGUGUCAUUAUGACCCAUGUGUAAUGGGGUCGAUUUGGGUCCUACAGUGUUGAAAACUUCGACAUCCACUUUUGGCCUUUUGCUUUCUCUACAGCCGCCUUGCUUUUUCCCUCUUUCCUUUUGUUUUCCUCCUGCCCCAUUCUAUCAACUAAACACAAUUAUGUAGUUGUUUAAUUCUUAAAUGAGAUAUUAUCCGUCAAUCGUAUUAUAUUUUAUCAAGAGAGAACGGAGUGCAAUGUGGCUGUAAUUUUAUCGUUUAGUUUUAUCUCUUGGACCACUGCAUUUUUGUUAAGAGGUGCAAUAAUACACGUCUUUAUCUGCCAUUCAAUAUUUACAGUAAAGAGAGGGCACAAAACUCUUCACUUCGCACCAUAAUUAUUUUGUUUUCUGGACACCCCGGGGCCCUUUGGUUGGUUUGGGGGUCAGAAAGUGAACAUCAUAGGGGGUUUUUCCCUUAUGUGCAUUUGUAUCUGAUGGCUUUAACUCGCCUUGUUACUACAAAGAAACUGUCACAGAUAGGAACUUAUUCCAGGCUGAGUAUCUCCUCAUAGACCCUAUAAAAGAAGACAAGUCAUAAUGAACAUCUAACCUUUGUUCAAUUUGAUUCAAUGCCCCCAUUGUGUCCAUCUCACAAAUCUGAAUUAUUAUAUCCAUUGAAUACAUAAAUUAAUGAAGAAAAUAUGAAACCCAAGAUACAUCUCUGCACAACCUCAACCCUGGUUGCUAUGUUUCCCUUCUAUUCACAUGAUUUGAUGCUAAUUGCCAAACUUGCAACAAGCCCUGAGUUUGACACCUAGUAUCGAUGGGCGAAUUUAAAGUCUCCUCCAAACAUAUAUUCCACAGCUUGAAGCUCACAGAAGAUGUUACAGGCAGGGAAAAACCUUCAGAGUUCGCUACCAAAGAUAAUUAUUAAGGAGAUAUCACAAAGAGAAUUCCAAGGGGUCUGAAUCAAAGACAAAUUGGUCGUUCGUGGGGGUUCUUACUUUCUUUUGGGUAUAACUCACUGAGGGCACUGUCUUUGUUAUUUGCAUUUCACAUUUAGAGUUCUGUUCUGGAAACAUAUAAAAGGAGCAUCAUUUUGUUCUUGGGUAACCCAUAGUCGUGAGUGGGUCCAUUUGCAUGCUACUUAGUUGAAAAGUUGGACCAUUUGCUCCGACGCCUACCUCCCGGAUUCCAUGCUCGGAUAAAACAAGAAUAAAAAAAAUAUUUAUAAUUUACAAAUGGGGGAAAGAAAAAAAUGUCAACAACAAACCAGGAAAAAAGAGUAGUAAAAUUCAUGUCACAUGCUAGUGAGAGAAGGGGUUGUUACACUCACUCGAAGUUCUUUCCAAAAUAUCGCAUGGUAUUUUAUUUUAUGUGUCAGCGCAGUUGUGAAUGGAACGUGCAAAAGUCCAAAUUGGCGUUUUUCCUUUUCCCGUGUAGGAUGGCGACCUUUAAUAAAUAUUUAAAACAAAAAACGAAAAAAAGGAGGGAAAAGGGAUCAGAAAAGAUAAAACAAUGUGUACAAGAGCUCAAUUAGUUUGCAAAUUACUGUUUGGAUUUUGAUAGUAUUUUAUUUGUCCAUCUAUAUUUGAUGGAAAAGAGAAUUUAAGAUAUUUCUGAAACAAAAGCAUUAGUGUAAAACUAAAUUAAGGUAUAAUUAAGUUAGUUCAAUGCAUUAAUUUAAGAAACUUGAUCUAUCCAAAGUACAAAAUUAGAUGAAAUCCAUUUCAAUGGUUAAAAUGAUCAAAAUCAAACUUUUUCUAAGUAUUUUUUAAAAGCAUCAAUAUUAAAAGACAAUUUUAUAUUUAGUCGGAGUUUGGACAAAACCAAAAAGCACACAAAAUCCAAGCGACCAUCUCUAGCUUGGAUAGUCACUUGAUCCCACCUAGAGAUGUGCAUGAGUAAAAGGAUUUGAAAAUGGAAAUUGACUAAAUAUUUAGUUGAUCAAUUAAAUUUGCAAUGUCAUAUGCAAUCCUAAUAGCUAGUCAUCUAAUCAAUUAGGUAGUCAAUCAAGUGUUUGUAAUGACUAUUUUGUACAAAAAACCACAUGUAUAGUUAAAUAUAAUGCAUUUCAUUUAUAAAUCUUCUAAUUCUUGAAUAACGAUCCUAUCAUCCUUUGAAAAUUUUUAUUACACCUUUUUUACUUUUGUUCUAAAACUUACAUAUCACCCUUAAUUGUACCAUGAGAACCUAGCUAUUUUUUUUUUUUUUGUAAUUCAUCAAAGUUAGCUUUUGUAUUCAUUGUUGUAUUAUUUUUAGUAUAACUUAGAAAGCUAGUGUUUUCAAGUGAGUAAAAUUAACUUGUAAAUAUUGUAAAGAUUCAUUGAUAUGUAUCUUAAACUAAGUGUACAAAUUAAAACAUUUGCUAGUAGAUUUUCUCAAAAUUUAGAAUAGAGCUUGAGGCUAUUGAAAUAGGUGGGGUUACACCAAACCACAUCACAUCGUUGUUUGCACCUUUUUUCACUCUCUUUUACUUAGUUUCUCUAUAUUUGUUGUCUAGUAAUAUCCUAUAGGCUUGAUGGGUUAGGGAGCAUCCCUUUGUGAAAAAAUUUCAUUCAAUUCUUAGUUGUAUUACGCAUAUAUAAAAUGCCUCAUUGUUUUAAUGGUAUUCAGUCGUGGCAUCACAGAUAUGGGCAUCUAAAUUUUAAAAGUUUGAAACUUUUGUAAAGCAUGUUGAUAAAAUCCAUGAGAGUUGUGUACUUGGGAAGCAACAUCGAGGUGACUUUAUUUUUUUUUCCUUUUAUAAUGCCACACCUAAGUCCGGUUUCUAAAUGCUAAAGUGAAAGGGUAGGUAUGGACCAUUGAAAUGUGAUCACAACUUUUGGCCUUUUCCUUUCUCUGCAGCCAUGUUGUCUCUUUUUUCUUUUGCAUGAUUUUCUUACCAAAACAGAAUCAUAGACUUGUUUAGUCUCUAAGCUACUAUAUUAUAUCUCGGUGGACUUUUAAGAGUGCAACCGACAUAGAGCACAUGCAAGUGGGCAUAUGGGACAUGAAAUUUCUUCUUACAAAGAUUGCAUGAUUUUUAUAUUAGAGUUGUUCACGUGCAAUGUAUUUAGCUUGUUUUGCAGUUAAAUUAAUUGGAUAAGUAAACAUUGGCAUUUCUAAAUCGACUGUGAAGUGCUUCAUGUACGUGUAAAGUAUUAGAAAUUUCUUUCUUGGCAACUUGUUUUUUCCUUGCCAUCUACUGGUAGGUUUGACUAAAAUUAUAUUCCCUGUCAUGCUAAUUAAUUUUCAUGUGCAUGCUCAAAAGAAGAGUAUGACCUUAGUGCACCAAAAUCACUUUGAUUAAUUUGUGAUAGGUUUUUUUGCAUCAUUUAGAUAAUGUUUAGUUCUAAGAAAAAUUUAUAUAAAAAUGGUUUAUUUAUCUUACAUAUAUAUAUAUAUAUAUAUAUUUUUUUUUUUUUCAUUUUUUUUUCUUCUAUUUUAUUUAUUUAUUUUAUUUUCCUUAUGUUUUCCUCACAUUUUCCGGAACUAAACAUAGUCUUACGAAAUCAACAAUUGCCUUCAACUGAGUAGAUUCUGUUGUUUUAGCAAUGUUAGGCUGCUAACUUGUGGUGGUACGAACCAAAUGACCCAUGUUAAUCUUGGCUUGGUUUGAUUUGGCUCUAUCUCAGAGAGCUAAAGGAUCACGUCAACUCUGGUUUCUACUAUUCAGGUCCAUUCCCAGAUGAACUGGUUCAAAUUUGAGAAAAUGGUAACAGACCUUUAGUGAUGUUGGUUUGGAGCCAGUUGCCAAACCCGCCCUGAGCUUUACCACUAAUGUCAAGGGAGAAAGCCAUUUGAACAAAAACAAUAGCUUCAAGAGACUGAAUCGUGGAUGAAAUCUGAUCCACAUUUCUUCUCAUUUUGGGAAAAAAUGAGAACUUAACUACAAAGAUUCUACUGCCUCAUUCAUAGUGCUUUUCCUGAUCCAAGGUUGGUUCGUUUCCCAAAUUGUGAGGUGCACGUGCCACUCUCACGCUCAGGAGUGUAUCCACGUGGUGGACAUCAGAUGGUGGCUUAAUAUCUGGUGUCGGUGGCUUUACUUUACUAGGAGAGUAGUGUGUCUUCAUCUCAUUCACUGCCGGAGGGUGGCGUAAGCAGUGACGCUAAGGUGGGGCACAGUCAAUAUCAUUUGCAUUUGACCAUUAUAGUUUUCUCCCGGCUUGAAAGUAACCUUAUCGUGAUAAAGGAUUACUAGCACUAGUUCAGAUGACCGUCAUGUUAAUUCGGACCAUGUUUGUGUCACAUUAUCAGCAACCAUGUGUUUAUGGUUCAUGCUAUCUGCAACUAAACUUGAUAUAUAACCAGGUGAACUUCAAUCAAAAUUCUGGAAGUACUCUUGUGAUAGAUGGUGCCUGUCUGCAGAGUCCAUCAAUUGAAAAAUGGAGUGAGUGUAUCUAUAAGAGGGAAGGCUUGGCAAAUGUUCAGUUUUCUGGGAAUUCAACAAGGAUCUAAAAUAGAUUGUUUUCUUUGCCGACUUCAAUGGUUGAAAUUUGAGAAGAUUGUGUCCACAUAUCACAACUAUUACUGGUCCUUCUGUUGCAAUUUAUCCUGUAAGGCUCUAACAUGUCUUCCAAUUCCCACUUCCCUGUUACUCCAGGAAAGCUAUUUCUGUCAUUGUGAAGAAGAAAAGAGAAUGUACAUAUCGAUGCUUUUAAGUGACUGGAGCAUUCAUAUCAGGUGGUCUGCAGCCAUAUAUGCCACUUUGUGAAGGUUGGAACAGUCAAUCACUAGGCUAUAUAUUGGUGUGGCCCAGCCACUUCAAUCAAGGACAAGUCUUCAUACUUAAAGUCAAAUUCUGCCUUUAGUCUCAUUAUAAAUUGCUGUUUAAAUAUUAAGCAAACUUUUGUUUAAUGCGAUUAAGACAGUACUAACUCAAUACUUGUUCUAUUUUUGGAUGCAAAUGCUUGAUGGUUUCAUCAUUGGAUGGGAUAAAGGUGCAUUCAUGAUUAUGAAUACUUGUAGUUAUAUUUUCAUUCUCUUUUUUCUCAAUGAGACUUGUUGGCACAAUGUUGCUGUUCAGAAACCUACCUCUCCAUGGAAAAUAAGUUGCGAUUGAUAGUACUGGAUAUGUUCAAGAAAGCUAAAUAUAGAUAGCACAAAAUAUUAUCGAUAUAAAUAGCAUUAACAGCGUACGUAUGUCUCAAUGCUCAUCAGCUAUAAGCAUGGGACAAACACUUACUAUGAGCAACUUACGUCAAAAUUCCAGAAUAGGACAUAGAAGUGACAGAUCUAUAUAUAUAGAACACUGCAUAUGAGUCACAAGAAAGGAAAUUACGGGUGCAUAGCAGCUCUUAUUUUACAUACUACUACUCAUACUGAUCAAAGUCACUCAGUUGGGAUGGGUGGGAGUAGGAGGUUUGUGGGGUGGCUUGUGCGGAGGAGUUGGCAGCUUCUUUCCAGGACCUGGUUGCUUCUCUGCUGGAGUUGAAGGAGGCUUAAUCUUCCGAGGUGGCUUGUAUGAGUCUUCAGCAUUCUCAGCUGGAGGGUGACCAGGGUUGUGACCAUAAUGUGGUGGCUUCUCUCCCUUAGGUGGUUUGCCAACUGGGGUUGGUGGCUUGUAUGAGUCUUCAGCAUUCUCAGCAGGAGGGUGACCAGGGUUGUGACCAUAAUGUGGUGGCUUCUCUCCCUUAGGUGGUUUGCCAACUGGGGUUGGUGGCUUGUGUUCUGGGAGUGGCUUCUCCCCCUUGGGAGGUUUUUCCAAUGGGGUUGGUUUGUGUUCAGGAGGUGGCUUCUCCACUGGAGGCUUGUGUUCAGGAGGUGGCUUCUCCACCGGUGGCUUGUGUUCAGGAGGUGGCUUCUCCACCGGAGGCUUAUGCUCUGGUGGUGGCUUCUCCACCGGAGGCUUAUGCUCUGGUGGUGGCUUCUUGAAUGGGGGAUGCUGAGGGUAAUCAGCAAGUGAGGGGGCGGUGAGAACCACCAGGCCAAGCAACACCACUAGCAAAUAUGUAGGAGACAUCUUUGGGUUUGGGCUCAGAUGGUGCAAAACUAGGAGAAUUGGCUAGCCUUUUAUAGCGGAUCGUACUCAAUAAUGAAAUGACACGUGUCAUUAUGACCCAUGUGUAAUGGGGUCGAUUUGGGUCCUACAGUGUUGAAAACUUCGACAUCCAGUUUUGGCCUUUUGCUUUCUCUACAGCCGCCUUGCUUUUUCCCUCUUUCCUUUUGUUUUCCUCCUGCCCCAUUCUAUCAACUAAACACAAUUAUGUAGUUGUUUAAUUCUUAAAUGAGAUAUUAUCGGUCAAUCGUAUUAUAUUUUAUCAAGAGAGAACGGAGUGCAAUGCAGCUGUAAUUUUAUCGUUUACUUUUAUCUCUUGGACCACUGCAUUUUUGUUAAGAGGUGCAAUAAUACACGUCUUUAUCUGCCAUUCAAUGUUUACAGUAAAGAGAGGGCACAAAACUCUUCACUGCUCUGCAUGUGUCCCAAAAAUGCGAUUGGACAAAUUAUGAUUUGCAUGCUAAAAAGAGGCAAAUGAGGUUAAUUCGCACCAUAAUUAUUUGGUUUUCUGGACACCAUAAAAAGAUGUUAUACAGGCAGGGAAAAACCUUCAGAGUUAGCUACCAAAGAUAAUUAUCAAGCAGAUAUCACCAAGAGAAUUCCAUAGAGUCUGAAUCAAAGACAGAUUGCUCGCUCGUGGGGGUUCUUACUUUCUUUUGGGUAUAACUCACUGAGGUCACUGUCUUUUUUAUUUGCAUUUCACAGUUAGAGUUCUGCUCUGGAAGGUUUGUUCUGGAAACAUAUAAAAGGAGCAUCAUUUUGUUCUUGGGUAACCCAUAGUCGUGAGUGGGUCCAUUUGCAUGCUACUUAGUUGAAAAGUUGGACAAUUUGCUCCGACGCCUACCUCCUGGAUUCCAUGCUCGGUAAAACAAGAAUAAAAAAAAAUAUAUAAUUUACAAAUGGGGGAAAGAAAAAAUGUCGGAAAAAAUAGUAAAAUUCAUGUCACAUGCUAGUGAGAGAAGGGGUUGUUACACUCACUCGAAGUUCUUUUCAAAAUAUCGAAUGGUAUUUUACUUUAUGUGUCAGCGCAGUUGUGAAUGGAACGUGCAAAAGUCCAAAUUGGCGUUUUUAUUUUUCCCAUGUAGGAUGGUGACCUUUAAUAAAUAUUUAAAACAAAAGACGAAAAAAAAAAGGAGGGAAAAGGGAUCACAAAAGAUAAAAUAAUGUUUACAAAAGCUCAAUUAGUUUGCAAAUUACUGUUUGGAUUUUGAUAGUAUUUUAUUUGUCGUUCUAUAUUUGAUGUAAAAGAGAAUUUAAGAUAUUUCCGAAGCAAAAGCAUUAGUUUGCUCUGUGAUGUCCCACAUCGAAUAGGGGAGAAAGUUUCUGGCGCUAUAUAUGUAGAGGCUCCUCUUAACCAAGUAGAUGCGUUUUAAAACCAUGAGGGCCCCCUUAGGUCCAAAGCGGACAAUAUCUACAUGAUUGGGUGUAAGUCAUUACAAAUGGUAUCAGAGCCGAUCCCCGACCCCGGUGUGGGGGUUUGUUUGGCCCUGUAAGGGGUGUUUGUCUGUUUGACCCCACAAUCCCAUGGGACACAACGAGGACGUUGUGUCUGCAUGGGGGGGCGUUUGUGAUGUCCCACAUCGGAUAGGGGAGAAAGUUCCUAGUGCUAUAUAUGUAGAUGUUUCUCUUAACCAAGUAGAUGCAUUUUAAAAUUGUGAGGGCCUCUUUGGGCCCAAAGCGGACAAUAUCUACAUGGUUGAGUGUAAGUCAUUACAUGCUCCAUGUCAAUUUCAGCAUUUCUCAUAUGUUUCACACAUACACAGAAGAGCAUCGUUUUUUAAAGCAUGCAUUUAUGUUGGAUUAAUUUGGAUUUUGUGGGAACUGGGGCAAGGAUCACAUGGAAGAGAGGUUGACUUUUUUCAGUACUUCAAUGGUUGAAAUAUGUGAAGGCUUGAUUGAUACUAAAGCUUGAAAUUGCGACUCUGUCAUUUGUAAAAAAAUAUGACAGCUUCCAUGCUCUCGUUUGGUUGCAUUGUCCGGUCGAGAGGUGCAAAAAGCAUUCUCUCUCUUCUAAUAGUCUUUUCGUUUAAAUCAAGGGAUUUGCCUUCCCGGUCGAGGUCCAAUAGAGGGUAACGGUCACCUACUAAACAUUAAAUGCUCCAACAACUAGUGAACUGAUCGACCCCAGCUCGACUAGUUGAGGUUACUUUUUGGUUUUCUUGUCUCCCGAGGUUAGAAACCUAUAAAUAGAGAGCUUCACUUCAUUUAUGAGUAAGAGAACACCUAAAUUUAUUUGUUUACCUACUUGUUUUUGCCAUAAAAGCUCUCAUUUCUUUUCUUGGUGUAUUAAAUCUCCAUUUGCAUAUCCUUUAGUGCACCUUUGUGAUUCAUUCUAGCCUUGAGUUGUAUUUAAGCCUUUGUUGAGCUAGGUUGAGAGUUUCAUACUUGUUUAUUGAGUGUUAAAGCCUUCAAGUGAGUUAAAACUUGAAGAGAUUGUGUAAGAGCCCAUUGGAGUCGGAAUCCAAGUGUAAAGGUGAUUAAAAGCUUGGUUGAAGCUUCAAGUUAGUGGAACUCUCACUCGGUUAUGAGCUUGAGAAGAGUGGACAUAGACAAGGCAGUGUCGAACCACUAUAAAAUCUGAGUUUGAUUUCUCUAACCUUAUCUCUUUAUAUUUGCUUCUCUUGUGCUUAAAUUUUUUGUGUUUAAAAAGAAUUUUUAAAAACUCAAUUCACCCCCUUCUUGGGAGUUUUUCUCUUUUAAGAUCAGCUUUUAUUUUCUCAAUUGGUAUCAGAACUAUGCCUCUUGUUUAAGACUUAAUCGUCUAAGAGGAAAUGGCUAAUCCAUCAAGUUCAUCUCACAUUGAAAGUUUUGCAACCAAUAGACUUCUUUUUUUUUUUUUGCGGGAACUGAUUAUCCCUAUUGGAAAACUAAAAUGACUUGGUUUUUACAAUCAAUUGAUUUAGAUGUAUGAGAUGCCAUUGAAGAUGACCUAACUUUUCCUUCAAAACUAGUUGAUGGAGUCAUGGUUCCAAAACCUAAGCAAGAAUGGGAUGAGCGUGAUUGAAGAAAUUUUCAAUUAAAUGCUAAAGUCGUUUAUACUUUGCAAUGCUCUAUGGACAGAAAUGAAUAUAAUAGAAUAUGUCAAUGCAAAUCGGUUAAAGAAAUUUGGAGAUUGCUUGAAAUAACUCAUAAAGGAACAAAUCAAGUUAAAGAGUCAAAAAUCAAUUUACUUGUUCAUAGAUAUGAAUUGUUUUUUAUGAAAGAUAAUGAAACUAUUGUUAAGAUGAUCACUAGGUUCACCAACAUUGUUAAUGGUCUUAAAGCCUUGGGAAAGACCUACAAGGAAUCCGAAAACGUGAUGAAGAUCUUGAGGUCACUUCCAUCAAAGUGGCAUACCAAGGUCACCGCAAUUUAAGAAGCAAAAGACUUGAUCAAGCUACCUUUGGAGGAGUUCAUAGGGUCAUUGAUGACAUAUGAAAUCAAUUUGGCAAAGAAGUAACAAAAAGGUGAAGACAAAAAGAAGAAGAACAUAACUCUCAAAGCUACAACUAAGGAAGAAGAAGUUGAAGAAGAAAAACAAAUUGAAGAAGAUGAAGAUUUAGCCCUCAUCACAAGAAAGUUCAACAAAUUCAUGAGGGGUGAAAGGUUUAGAAGAAGAAGGUUCACUUCUAGAAGAGACUUUUCUAAAAAGGAAUCUUCAUCUAAUGGUGACAAAAAGAGAUGGGAAGAGAAAAGAGACUUGGUGUGUUUCAAGUGCAAGAAACCGGGACACAUUAAAUAUGAUUGUCCUCUCUACAAAAGUGAAGUCAAGAGGAAAAAGAAUAAGGCAAUGAUGGCCACUUAGAGUGAAAGUGAAGAUGAAUCAUCCGAAGAAGAAAAUGAGAAAGAAGUGGCAAACAUGUGUUUCAUGGCAAUAGAUGAACUUGAUGAGGUAAAAUCUAACCUUAGUGAUUAAGAUAUACAUGAUGCAUUUGAAGAAUUGUAUGAGGAUUUUUAAAAACUUAGUUUGAAAAAUAUUUCUCUUAAAAAGAAAGUUCAACAACUUGACAAAGAACUUAGAGAAGUAAAAGAAAAAUUUUCAAAUGUUAAAGUUUCUAAAACUCAUCUUGAAAAAGAAAAUGAGAUUCUAAGAAAGAAAAAUGAAUAGUUGAACUCCUCUCUUUCAAUCUUUUCUUCUAGACAAAAAUCUUUUGAAAUGAUUCUAACUAGCUAAAAAUGUGUUUUUGACAAACAAGGGUUAAGAUUUAAAUCUUCAAAAAAUCAAAAGUAUUUUAAAAACUAUUUUGUAAAGGAAUCCACAAGUGCAAGUCCUUCCACUACUUGCAACUUUUGUGGAAGAGAAUGGCACAUUAGUAGUACGCCCUUUAAGAAAUGGUUCUCAAAAGAAUUUAAAUGCAAAAACUAAAAAAGAUUUGGAUUGAGAAAUCCAAGGUCACUAACCCUCAAGGACCCAAAAAGAUAUAGGUACCUAAAUCAACUUGAGUUUUAUGUUGUAAGGUUCAAAGAAUGAUAAGUGGUUCUUAGAUAAUGGUUGCUCAAGACACAUGACCGGAGAUGAAUCCAAGUUUGCUUUUCUUAAAAAGAAAAAUGGAGGAUAUGUUACCUUUGGAGACAAUGCAAAAGAAAGGAUGAUUGGUCAAGGCAACAUUGGUAAUGGCACAUCCUCUCUCAUUGAAAGUGUUUUAUUAGUAGAUGGUUUCAAACAUAACCUUUUAAGCAUUAGUCAAUUUUGCGACAAAGGUUUUUAAGUGAUUUUUUAAGCAUCUCAUUGCAUCAUCAAGGAUAUUCAAAAUGAUAAAACCAUUUUCAUGGGCCAUAGAUGUGAUAAUGUUUAUGCUAUAAAUAUUUCAAAAUAUGAUGGCCAUGAUAGAUGUUUUUCAAGCAUGCAUGAUCAAAGUUGGUUGUGCCAUAGGAGAUUGAGACAUGCUAACAUAGACCUCAUUUCCCAACUCAACAAAGAUGAACUUGUUAGAGGCCUUCCCAAAAUAAUUUUUUAAAAAGAUAAAGUUUGUGAAGCUUGUCAAGUGGGAAAGUAAAUCAAAAACUCUUUUAAAAACAAAAACUUCAUUUCCACAUCUAGGCCACUUGAGUUGUUGCAUAUGGAUUUAUUUGGUCCCUCUAGGACACCAAGUCUUAGAGGAAAUUCUUAUGCAUAUGCUAUUGUGGACGACUUCUCUAGAUACACAUGAGUCUUGUUUUUUAGUCAAAAGAAUAAAGUUUUUUAUGAGUUUUCAAAGUUUUGCAAUAAGAUUCAAAAUGAAAAAGGUUUUUCAAUUACUUAUAUAAGAAGUGAUCAUGGGAGAGAAUUCGAAAAUAUUGAUUUUGAAGAGUAUUGCAAUGAGCAUGGAAUUGACCACAAUUUUUUGGCUCUUAGAACUCCUCAACAAAAUGGGGUAGUUGAAAGGAAAAAUAGAACUCUUCAAAAAAUGACAAGAACCAUACUAAAUGAAAACAACUUACCAAAAUAUUUUUAGGCCAAAACGGUUAACACUUCUUGUUAUGUUUUAAAUAGAGUAUUAUUGAGGCUCAUACUUAAGAAAACUCCCUAUGAGCUUUGGAAAAACAAAAAACCCAACAUUAGUUAUUCCAAAGUCUUUGGAUGCAAUAUUUUAUAAUAAACACCAAAGACAAUCUUGGAAAAUUUGAUGCAAAAUUGGAUGUUGGAAUUUUCCUUGGUUACUCAACUUCAAGUAAAGCUUUUCGAGUUUUAACAAAAGAACCAUGGUUGUAGAGGAGUCCAUCCAUGUUAUUUUUUAUGAAUCUCCAAGAAAGAGAGAGGAUUGAUGAUGAUUUAGGUUUGAAGACCUCUAUAGGAAGAUUGCAAAUCGAAGAUAGAAGACAACAAGAAGAAAAUGGAGAGAAUCCAAAGAAAGAAGGAUCACCAUUGGCACUACCCCCUCAUCAACAAGCGCAAGGUGAAUCAAGUCAAGAGCUUCCUAAAGAAUGGAAGUUUGUCAUCAAUCACCCACAAGAUCAAAUUAUAGGCAAUCCAUCUAGUGGGGUAAGAACUAGAUCCUCUCUUAGAAAUAUUUGCAAUAAUCUAGCUUUUAUCUCUCAAAUUGAGCCUAAAAAUAUAAAUGAUGUUUUAGAUGAUGAAAAUUGGAUAAUUGCAAUGCAAGAAGAGUUAAAUCCAUUUGAAAGAAGUGGAGUAUGGGAAUUAGUACCAAGACCUUCAAAUCAAAGUGUUAUUGGAACUAGAUGGAUCUUUAGAAAUAAAAUGGAUGAAAAUAGCAUAAUUGUUAGAAAUAAAGCAAGAUUGGUAGCCCAAGGUUUUAAUCAAGAAGAAAUGAUAGAUUAUGAAGAAACCUUUGCCCCCGUAGCUAGGUUGGAAGCCAUUAGGAUGCUACUUGCCUUUGCAUGUUUUAAAGACUUUGUUUUAUAUCAAAUGGAUGUGAAAAGUGCUUUUUUAAAUGGUUUUAUAAAUGAAGAAGUAUAUGUUGAACAACCACCCGGUUUUCAAAGUUUCAACUUUCCUAACCAUGUUUUUAAACUUAAAAAGACACUUUAUGGUUUGAAACAAGCACCUAGAUCAUGGUAUGAAAAAUUGAGUAAAUUUCUUUUGAAAAAAAUGUUUUAAAAUGGGAAAAAUUGACACAACUCUUUUUAUAAAAACCAAAGAAAAUGAUAUGCUCUUAGUUCAAAUAUAUAUUGAUGAUAUCAUUUUUGGUGCUACUAAUGUCUCUCUUUAUGAAGAAUUUUCUAAGUGCAUGCAUAGUGAGUUUGAAAUGAGCAUGAUAGGAGAACUCAACUUCUUCCUUGGACUUCAAAUCAAGCAACUAAAGGAAUGAACCUUCAUCAAUCAAGCAAAGUAUAUAAGAGAUCUUCUCAAAAGGUUCAACAUGGAAGAAGCCAAAACAAUGAAGACUCUAAUGAGCUCAUCCAUUAAGCUUGAUAAGGAUGAGAAAGGUAAAUCCAUUGACUCUAUUAUGUAUAGAGGCAUGAUAGGUUCUUUGCUCUAUUUGACCACUAGUAGACCUUACAUUAUGUAUAGUGUGUGUUUGUGUACUAGAUUUCAAUCUUGUCUUAAAAAAUCUCACUUAAGUGUCGUGAAAAGAAUCCUCAAAUAUUUGAAAGGGACAAUGGACAUAGGCUUAUGGUAUCCUAAGAGUGAUAACUUUGAAUUAAUUGGUUUUUUGGAUGCUGAUUUUGUCAGUUGUAGGGUUGAAAAAUAAAACACUAGUGGCACUUUUCAUUUCUUAAGACACUUACUUGUCUCAUGGCAUAAUAAGAAGCAAAAUUUGGUAGCUUUGUCAACAGCAGAAGCUAAAUACAUAGCAACUGGUUUAUGUUGUGCACAAAUCCUUUGGAUGAAAUAAACACUUAGUGAUUUUGAUUUAUCUUUUGAGCAUAUUCCUAUUAAAUGUGAUAAUAGUAGUGCCAUAAGUAUAUCAAAAAAUCUCGUGCAACACUCUAGGACUAAGCAUAUAGAGAUUAGACAUAAUUUUCUUAGAUAUCAUACACAAAAGGAUGAUAUAACACUUGAAUUUGUAAGCAUAAAAGACCAACUUGCCGAUAUCUUUACAAAACCUCUAAGAACAUUUUGUUGAUAUUAGAGGACAAUUAGGAGUGAUUUCUUUAUGAUCUAAUGUGAUGAAUUCUUGAUGAAUAUACUUUUUGAUUGCAUGAAUUUCAUGUCAUAUAUGCAUCAUAUAGAAAUAUACUUAGAUAAUGGUCAAAUUUCGACCAAAAAUCAAAAUUCCCAUGGCAUUAGGCAUAAAAAUUUUGGAAUUUCAACUGAAAAUGGUAGGAGGAGGAUCACAAAAUGAGAAAGUAUGCAAAAAUUGAAAAAUCAAAACGUUGACCAAGCGGUCAAUCGGACUAGACCGAUCGACUAGUUUGUCGAGAUUUAGGAUUUUUAAGAGACUCCAACGCUUCAAUUUUUGCACCGUUCUCCUCUAUUUCUUCACGGUUUCUCUGAUUUUGUCUUUUAGAGACUAAUUUGAGUGCGUUUUGGAUCAAUUGAAGCAUUUUGGAUUGGAUUUUAGGAAGAUUGAAAGUUAAGGUUUCGGAUUUGGGUCGCCUUCUCUUCCUCUCGCGUGUCACAAUCAGCUUUAGCAUUGUUCUCUUUCCAUUUUCACACACCUAGGGUUUCAGUUGUGAGCAUCUCUCUCUCUUUACCAACCACUACUCCCUUGCUUCUUCCAUAUGGCUCCUAGGCGAGAGUCCGCUACUUCUAGGGCACAAGGCAAGCACCCAACUGAGUCGUCUCAGUCAAAGGCACGUCGAAAAGUGAGAUUUGACAUUGCCUUGUUCAGUUCCAUGGAGGACUACCAACUAUACAAGCAACACUUUGCUUAGAGACGAGUAGUUCCCAAGAGAAAUAUUAAUUUUCCUCAACUUCAGCAUUUCGAAUUUAAGGGUCUAUUUACUAGGAUGGUUGGUUGUCUAUUGUCACAAUUUCGGAGCCGGUUUUCCUGACCUUAGUGCGAGUUUUUUACUCGAGGGCGACUUAUGGCAUGGGUGGCAUGAUCAUUUCUACUGUUGGAGGAGUUGAGAUCUGUCUGGACCCAGAGAGCAUCUGCCAUAUUUUCGAUAUUGCUCUGGUUGGACUCAAAGUAUACAAGUCCAAAAUGUGGCCCAUUGUGCCAGGAUUUGAGCUUAGAGAGGUCAUUCAGAGGAUUUGUGAACUUCCAGACGCCCAGGAGAUGGGCAAACCAUUGCCACACAGUUUGACGGUCAUCAACAGGGUGCUACACCAUAUAUUGUGCUCUAUCUUUCUACCACGAAGUGGACAUUGAGAUGAGGUCUCUUAUUAUGAGGCAUUCCUUAUUGACUCCAUUCUAACGGAGAGACGAAUUCAUCUACUAUGUCAUCAUUCACUAAGCCUCCUCACAGUGACAUACCACCUCAUCAGGCACCUCUUGCUCCUGACCAUGCUCCAUUGAUGGAUUUAUUUACUCAUAUUAGCUCUCUAGGCACUCGCAUGAAGGAGUUUGUUGUAGUUAGUGAUACAUGGUUCUACUCCAUAGAGGAUCGCAUGGAUCAGUAUCAGACUGGCUUCACGUCACAGUUUGAGUAUCUCCAAUAGAGGAUUGAGCAUAUUGAGGAUCACUUGAGCAUGAGAAGAUGAUGGCUUUUCUAUGCUCUGUGUUUCCACCUCCACCUCGUCAACCUUGAUUUCUUAGAGACCCAUUGUUUUCAUUUUGUAAUGUUGCCAAAAGGGGGAGAUAUUUAGGAUCUAGGACUCUAUAGGAGACUUACAUGCAUAUCAUUUUCAUAUCAUUGUUUGGAUCGUACAUAUUGGAUAGUGAUACUUUUUACUUAUAUAUGAUAUGCCUAUAUGUUUCAUGUCUUACAUUGUUUCUUAUUGCAAAUUAUCUCUAACAUGUCUUGAUUAUCUUUUUUUUAACUUCAUAAAUUUUGAUUGUUAACCCAUGAUUGGUUUGAGGGGAAGAUUCUUCUUCUCCUAGAUAACCAAGGUUUGUCAUCAUAAAAAAAUUGGAGAUUGUUAGCCCAAGGGUUCUCCUAAUCAUGUUUUGAUGAUAACAAACCAUGCUUAAGUUACUAAUUGGUUUGAAUUAUAAAGAAUUUCAAGUGUUAAUUUGAAAAUUCAUCAAAGAACCUAAUGGAUGCAAGAUCAAGAUUUUUGGAAGACCUUUAAUCAUAAGAAACAUAUGUAAGAUGAAUGCAUGGGUGCACUUAAGAUUUGCAUAUCAUUUCAUGCAUAUUUGGAAAACACGGUUUAUGCUUUAAAGUUACAUUUCCAUCAAAAUUUGAGAUCCAUCAAAUGAACCUUAGGAAAAAUGUUUUAAAAUUGGCAUAUAAUUUUACCUAAAGACCUUGCCUAAGUGUUAGAAGCAAAAGGACAAAAAAAAUAUAGGUUUUCUGGUCAAAAAUGGUGAACCAGUCAAGGCAUUGUCUAAAUCAGCUCAAUCGGCCAAGGUACCGGUCGAUCGGUUUCCCUUUCCCUGUCGAGAUCUAGUCAAGAGGUACAAAAAUCACAAUCUCUGUCUCUUUCUCUCUUUGUCUAUCUUCCAGUAGUCUUUCCUUCCCGGUCGAGGGAUUUGCCUUCCCGAUUGAGGUCCGAUUGAGAGUAAUAGUCACUUGCCAAAUAUUAAAUGCUCCAACAGUUAGUGAACUGGUCGACCCCCACCUUGCCCAGUUGAGGUUACUUUUUGGUUUUCUUGGCUCCCGAUGUUAGAAACCUAUAAAUAGAGAGUUCCACUUCAUUUAUGAGCAAGAGAACACUUGCAUUUAUUUGUUUACCUACUUGUUCUUGCCUUAAAAGCUCUCAUUUCUUUUCUUGGUGCAUUAAAUCUCCAUUUUGAUAUCCUUUAGUGCACCUUUGUGAUUCAUCUUAGCCUUGAGUUGUAUUUGAGCCCUUUUUUUAGCUAGGUUGAGAGUUUCAUACUUGUUAAUUGAGUGUUAAAGCCUUCAAGUGAGUUGAAACUUGUAGAGAUUAUGUGAGAGUCGAUUGGAGCCGAAAUCCAAGUGUAAAGGUGAUUAGAAGCUUGGUUGAAGCUUCAAGUUAGUGGAAUCCUCACUCAAUUAGGAGCUUGAGGAGAGUGGACGUAGCCAAGGAAGUGUCGAACCACUAUAAAAUUUGAGUUUGAUUUCUCUAACAUUGUCUCUUUAUAUUUGUUUAUCUUGUGCUUAAAUUUAUUGUGUUUAAAAAGAAUUUUUAAAUACCCAAUUCACCCCCCUCUUGGGUGUUUUUCUCUUUUAAAAUUAGCCUUUAUUUUCUCACAAACUAUUGUAGUAUAGUGGUUUUUAGGUGUCAUCCAUUAGGAUGAAUUGUUCUCGGUAAUUAAGGCGUGAAUGAGAGGAGAAUUAAUGAUUGUGAUUAAGUAAAAUUGAUUUGAAAAUUCAUGGUGAAAAAUCAAUUUAACAAUGGUUUCUAAUUGAGAAAAACAAUGAAAUGUGAAAUAAAAUAAAAUUAAUAGGAAAUGAAAUUCUCGAAGUUAGAAUUUUCUAAAAAACAAAUUCCAUGGUGAAUGGAUGUUGAGAUCUAAUUUUCAUCAAGUUAGAUUGAAAACCGAAAUUUUCAUAUAAACUGAUUUUUUAUUUAGUUUUAGGUCUAGAUUUAAUUUCCCUUAAAAUUAGGUUAUUUAAUCCAAGAAAUCAAUUCAAAUCAUAUAUUCAAUUCAUCUUAAAUUAUCUUCCAAUUAUUCACACAAUGCAACUAUUCAAUCUCAUCAAAUCUAGCUUUUAAGAAUUUAAUGAAUCUACCUAGUUUGCAUUGUAAUAGUCAUCCAUGACAAUUUGAAGAGAAAAAUAAUUCAAUUAAUCAAUCACUUGGAUCAAAUUACCUUUGCAAUUAAAGUUCAUUUCUCUAAUUCACCACAGAUUUUGUCUCUAGAUCCUCCUUUCUCAAAGAAAAAUGAGAUUUAGCCACACAUGAUUGGAGAUUUGGUCUCAUAAGGCAUGUUUAGCUAGUGAUAAAAUGAGAGAAAAUAAAGAAAAAUAGAGAAUUCGAUUAAGAAAGAAAAUCUAAAAAAUUCUACAAUUAGAAAUGUCCAAAAAGCUUUUUCAUGAGAAAAUCAAGUUUCUAUUUAUAGGCCAAGGUCAAGUGGACACUUGACAUCAUCUAAGAGGUCUUCCGGAAGCUUCUUCAUCAAGAAAUCUGGAGUUUAAUAAUAAAAUGGUCAUUUCACAAGAGCUCAAACAAUUUCGCAUGAUUAUGUGAAAUAAAAAAUGCAACAACAGCAAUUUACAUCUUCUUGGAGCAUUUCGCAUGACUGUGUGAAAUUUUCACAUGAUCAUGUGGAAUCGACUUGACAACUCUCAUUUAGCCUACAACAUAAUUCCACCUUUUGGUCCAUUUUUCAUAGUCAUGCGAAAUGGAAAUAUUUGAUUUUUAAGUUUUCUUUUGUCAUUUCUUUCAUUUCCUUCUCUUGAUUCCACUUCAACUACCUCCGAAUCCUGGUCCAAACCAAUUGCAUUACUUCUUUCAUUAUGCAUUUGGAUCAUCAUCAACAUUAUUUGUUCUCUUCAAUUUGAUUCAUCUCUUUUGUCACCAAUUUAUCAAAAUCAUACCUUGAAAUGACUCCAAAACUUCAUAAAACUUGUUAGUAACUCUUGCAAGGGCAACAACAUAUUAAUUAAGUGUUUUAGGCAUAGUUACUACUCAAAAGAUGCGAAACUCAUGAUAAUUAUUAUAUAAAAUAUGCUCUUUUUGAGUAGUAAUCAACUUUCUUGCAUAAGCAGACCUUUUAGGGUGGAGUACUAAAGACCAAUAUGCUUGUCCUUGUUGUAAUAAAGAAACUUGCUCUUAUUGAUUGCACCAUGGGAGAAAAUUUUGCUACAUGAGUUAUCAUCAAUUUCUUCCCACCAAUCAUAGAUUUAGACGUGACAAGAGGCCUCUUAAUGGCAAGGAGGAACUGACACUCACACUUAUACAAUUAUCGGGCAUUGAUGUGUUGCAACAAUUAGAAUAACUUACACCAAUUAUGUUGGGGAAGUCACAAAAGGCAAACAUGAAAACUAAAAGGAAAAAAGAAAAAUGUUACAUAUCACCACAACUGGAAAGAAAAAAGUAUUUACUUUCAUUUGCCAUAUUGGAAAGCACUUAUUUUACAUCAUAAUAAUUUAGACAUAAUGCAUAUUGAGAAAAAUGUGUGACAAUAUAAUUGAGACAUUGUUCAGUAUUGACGAAGAAACAAGGACAACCUAAAUAGUCAUCUCGAUUUACAAGCUCUAACUAUUAGAAAUGAGAUUCACCCAAUAGAAAGCAGGACCAAAUUUAUUUUGCUUGCAACAUGCUACUCACUCACCCCAAAUGAGAUUAAGGAAUUUUGCAAGUUUUUGAAAUCAAUAAAGGUCCCCAAUGGCUAUUCUUUCAAUAUCUCUCGUUAUGUGCAACUCAAUGAAAGGAAGAUAUAUGAGCUCAAAUUGUAUGAUUGUCAUGUCCUAAUGCAACAACUUCUCUCACUUGUAGUUCGUGGAGUUCUACAUAAGAAUGUUUGUGGAGUUAUCAUAGAAUUGCGUAAUUUUUUCAAGCAAUUGUGCUCAAAGGUGUUAGAAACAAAUCACUUACACCAACUUGAGAACAAUAUUAUUGUCAUACUAUGUAAAAUGGAGCAAAUAUUUCUUCCAUCAUUCUUUGAUAUUAUGGUGCAUUUACUUGUGCAUCUAGUAAGGCAAAGGUUGCAAGACUUGUGCAAUAUUGUUGGAUGUACCUAAUUGAACGAUAUUGUUAUAAUUUCAUAUGAAUCAUUUAAUUUUAUUUUAUAUUAUGUUCAGUUCAUUAACAUGUACAUUGGUCUACAUAUGGAUGAUGAUAGGUACCUAAGCACUUUAAAGUCAUAUGUGCGUAAUAGAACUUUUCUAGAAGGUUCUAUUGUAGAAAGGUACCUUGCAAAAGAAUGUACAACAUUUUAUUCUAGGUACUUGAAUGAUGUGGAAAUAAAGUAUAAUCACAAUGAUAGAAACUUUGUUGGUUUCAACACUAGAGGAGAUGAAAGGGGUUAUCUUUAAACAUAUUGGACAUGCAUUGGGAAAGCCCAUAUUUCAUUAACUUAGUUCAAAAGAGUGGUCACAAGCACAUUUAUAUGUGUUGACAAAUUGCGAAGAUGUCAUACCAUUCAUUGAGUAAAAAAUUUAUUUGAAUUUUAAUUAAAGCUCUAGUUUAUAUCCUUAAUCAAUGUUUUUUAAAUUCACAAGGAGCACAAGCAAACCAUCAAGGCUAGACCACAUAUACGUGUUUGAGACGUAGAUUUAAUUCAUAACAAGGAAUUUAUCAAGUGGUUUGAAAGACAUGUAAGUAUAUUCCUUAUUAUAAGGGAUUUAUUUCACAUUAUGUUUAUAUUGAAUCCAAACCUAUUAUUGAAUUGUAGGUUGAACAAUUACAUAAUGAAGGUCAUAUAUCUGAACACCUUCUCACAUUAUCAUGUGUUCCAAAUUCAUUAGUUACAUGCUUCAAAUGAUAUAUUGUCAAUGGAUUUAGAUCCCACAUUAAAGAACGUGAUAAAAAAGUUUUUAAAAAAAGACUCAGAAUAAUGGAAUUGUUGUAGUUGCAAAAACGUCAAGCUUUACAAGUGCAUGUGAUAUGAGUCCAAUUAUUAGUGAUGCUCUCUACUAUGGUGUUCUAACUAAAGUUGUUGAGUUACAUUAUCUUGGUGAAAAUAAGGUUGUUUUAUUCGAGUUUGAUUGGUGGGAUGUUACAAAUAUUGGAAAAUUGAUAAAAGAUGAUGAGUACAAUUACACAUUUGUUAACUUUGCAUGAAUUCUAACCACGAACGAACGAUUUGUACUUGCAUCUCCAGCAAAGUAAGUGUUCUAUGUGAAGAAUGCGAAUGAAUCAGAUUGGCAUACUAUCAUGGAGAUGCAACCUCAAGACCUCUAUAAGAUGAACGGGAUAGGAUCCAAUGGUGAUUUUGAACCAUUUCAACAAAGUGAACUACAUGAUCACUAAUAUAUCUCAGAUUUAGUUGAUGAAGAUAUAAUCAAGUGGAACAAAAGUGAUGUUUUAGGACUAAUCAUCCUAAAAAAUAUUGUAGUUUCUUAAAAAAAAAAUGAAAAUGAAGAAGAUAAUUGAACCUUUGUCAUACUUUAAAAAGCAACUAUGCAUUGUUCAUUUUGUAUGUUUUGGUUUUCUUCAUUUAAUUUCCUGAUUUUUGUGAUUCAAUGUCAUAUUAUUGAUCUUGAAAUAUUUUUCUAAUUUUUCAUUCUACGAUGGUUUCAACAAGGAUGACAUCAAGUCAAAAAAGGAAAUGUGGUCCCACACACAAUAUUGCAUUACAGGGAUUAAGGUCAGGGAAGAAGGUAAAAGUUGCAUUUAAUGAGUACAAUCAAUUGGUUAAACAGAAAAAUGGAAAACACUUAUCGAGCUACAUAGGGACACUUGUAUCUAACCAACACAAUGUACCUCUCCAAGCUAGUGAUUGGAAAAAUGUUCCAAAUGAUGCAAAAGAGAAAGUAUGGCCUUUGUUUUGGUAUGUUGUAUUUCUCACUAUAUGAUGUCAUUUCACUGUUAUUCUAUUUUGUGACUAACGUUUGAAUCAUAUGUAAGAAAAAUUUGAAGUAGAUAAAGACUGAAAAGAUUACAUGUUGGGUAUAGCCUCAAAUAAAUAUAGAAGCUAUAAAAAUAUGAUGAAUGCAAAAUACUAUGACCCUUGGCAUAAGGAUGCAUGAGGAGAGGUUAAUACAUAAAUCACCAUUUGUCUCUGAUGUUGAUUGGAAGUGGCUUGUCUCUGAUGCAUAAACCAAAUCCCCCACUGAAUGUUUGAUAUUUGAUAGCAGGAAAAACACACCCGCAGCUAUACACCUCCAUCAUUCAGAUAAUUAUAGUGGGGGAGAUGAUUCAUGGUUGCCCUUAUACCCUUUAUUUGCACCAUCUAUUGAGAUUCUUUAUCAUGGCCAGGUUUUACUGCAGCAAUAAGAUAUGGUGGCAACAAUUUUAUCUAUAGGUGCGGUUCCAGACCGCCUCCAUAGGUGCGGUUCCUGACUGCCUCCAUAGGUGCCUCUUCUUGUAAUGUUUGUUCUGGGAAUUACACUUGAAAGCCUUAUCGUGAUAAGGGAUUACAAACACUAGUUCAGAGGACAGCCAUGUUAAACUUCCACUAUGUUUGUGUCACAUUAUCAGCAGCCUAGUGUUUAUUGGUCAUGCUAUCUGCAACUAAUAUAACCCGGUGAACUUCAAUCUAAAUUCUGAAAGUACUCAUGUGACAGAUGGUGCCUUUCAGCAGAUAUCAUCAAUUUAAAAGUAGUGUGUGUGCCUAUAGGUGGGAAGGCCUUGGCAAAUGUUCAGUAUUCCGGUAAUUCAAGAAGGAUAUAUCUAAAAUAGAUUUUCUUCUUGCCCAUUUCAAUAGUUAAAAUUUGAGAAGAUUGUGUCCACAUCACACAAAUAUUAUUGGUCCUUCUGUUGCAAUUUACCUCUGAACAUGUCUUCCAAUUCCCACGGUCCUGUUACUCCAGGAAAACUAUUUCGGUCAUAUUGAAAAAAAAAAUAUUAAAGAAGGUACACAUGCUUUUAAGUGGACUGGGGCAUUCAUAUCAGGUGGUCUGUAUCCACAUAUGCCACUUCGUGAAAGGUGGAACAGCCUAAUCACUAGGCUAUUUAGUGUGGCCCAGCCACGUUAAUCAAGCACAAGUCUUCAUACUUAAAGUCAAAUGGUGUCUUUAGUCUCAUUACACAUCGCUAUUUGAAGAUUAACUCAUCACUAGUGUAAUGCGAUUAAGACAGUCCUAACUCAAUAUUUGUUCUAGUUUUGGAUGCAAAUGCUUGCUGGUUUCAUCAUUGGAUGGGAUAAAGGUGCAAUCAGGACUAUGAAUACGUGCAGUAAUACUUCAUUCUCUUUUUUCUCAAUGAGACUUCUUGGCACAAUUUUGCUGCUCAGCAACCUACCUUUCCAUGGAAAAUCAGUUGUGACUGAUAGUAAUGGAUAUAUUCUAGAAAGCUAAACAUAGAUAGCAUUCAAUAUUAUCGAUAUAACAUUAACAGCGUAUGUCUCAAUGCUCAUCAGCUACAAGCAAUGGACAAACACUUUGAGUAACUCACAGCAGUCAAAAUUCCUAAACAGGACAGACGUGACAGAUCUAUAUAUAGAACACUGCAUAUGAGUCACAGGAAAAGAUAAUACGGGUACAUAGAAGCUCUUAUUUUACAUAUUACUCAUACUGAUCAAAGUCGCUCAGUUGGGAUGGAUGGGAGAAGGAGGUUUGAGGGGUGGCUUGUGCGGGGAAGUUGGCAGCUUCUUUCCGGGAGCUGGUUGCUUCUUUGCUGGAGUUGAAGGAGGCUUAAUCUUCCGAGGUGGCUUGUAUGAGUCUUCAGCAUUCUCAGCAGGAGGGUGACCAGGGUUGUGACCAUAAUGUGGUGGCUUCUCUCCCUUAGGUGGUUUGCCAACUGGGGUUGGUGGCUUGUUUUCUGGGAGUGGCUUCUCUCCCUUGGGUGGUUUGCCAACUGGGGUUGGUGGCUUGUGUUCUGGGAGUGGCUUCUCCCCCUUGGGAGGUUUUUCGAAUGGGGUGGGUUUGUGUCCUGGUGGUGGCUUCUCUCCCUUGGGAGGUUUACCAAUUGGGGUCGGUGGCUUGUGUUCUGGGAGGGGCUUCUCUCCCUGGGGAGGUUUAGUGGGUGGCUUGUGUUCUGGAGGUGGCUUCUCCACCGGAGGCUUAUGCUCUGGUGGUGGCUUCUCGAAGGGGGGAUGCUCAGGGUAAUCACCAAGUGAGGGGGUGGUGAGAACCACCAUGCCAAGCAACAACACUAGCAAGUAUGUAGUAGACAUCUUUGGGUUUGGACUCAGACAGUGCAAAACUACGAGAAAUCGCUAGCCCUUUAUAGCGGCUCGGACCUAAUACUGACAUAAUAUAAAAUAAAUAUUAUAUUUUAUCAAGAGAGAACAGAGUGUAAUUUUAUCAUUAAUACCGAUCGAGGCCAAAGAAAGAAGACCCAUAAUCCAUUUCCCACAAGCAUACACAAUGCAGCUGUAAUUUUAUCAUUUACUUUUAUCCCUUGGACCACUGCAUUUUUGUUGAGAGACACAAUAACACAUUUUUAUCUGUCAUUCAACAUUUACAGUAAAGAGAGGGCACAAAACGCAAUUAGAUAAAUUAUGUUUUGCCUGCUAAAAAGAGGCAAAUAACUUUAUUUGCAACAUAAUUAUUUUGGUUUCUAGUGACCCCGGGGCCUUUCGGUUGGUUUGGGAUCGGAAAAUGAACAUCAUAGGGGGGGUUGUGCCCUUAUGGGCAUAUAUAUCUGAUAGCUUCAACUGGCCUUGUUCCUAGAAAGAAAUUGCCAAAGAUAUAAACUUAUUCCAGGCUGAAAGUAGAUGAGAGUCAUAAUGAACAUCAACCUUUGUUCAGUUUGAUUCAAUGCCCCCAUAGUGUUCAUUUCACAGAUCUGAAUGAUUAUAUCCGUUGAAUACAUAAAUUAAUGAAGACAAAUAUGAAACCCAAGAUACAUCUCUGCAUAACAACCCCAACCCUGGUUGCUAUGUUUCCCUUCUUCUAUUCACAUGAGGAUACUGGUUAUAAUUGUCAAACUUGCAACAAGCCCUUUGACACCUAACGUCAAUGGACGAAUUAAAAGUCUCCUUCAAACGUCUAUUUCACAGCAUGAAGCUUAUAAAGGAUGCUGACAACCUUCAGAGUUAGCGACAAAAGAUAAUUAUCAAGGAGAGAUAGUUCCAUGAGAAUUCCAAGGAGUCUGAAUCAAAGACAAAUUGCUCACUCAAGGGUUCUUAUUUUCUUUUAGGUACAAAUCUCUUGAGUGUUGUUAAAGAAACACGUCACUGUCAUUUUGAUUUGCAUUUAACAUUUCACUUUUGUUCUGGAAGGUUUGUUCCGGAAACAUAUCAAAUGAGCAUCAUUUUCUUCUUCGGUGACACAUGGUCGCGAGUACGUGGGUCCAUUUUCAUGCCACUUAGUUGAAAAGUUGGAAAGAAAAAACAUGCCAACAAGAAGAUAGUGAGAGAAGGGGCACUUCAAGCCUUUAACAUGAACAAACAGUAAAUAAAAGAUGUUUCUCCACUCAUAAAAGUGUGUUAGAUAGCAAUAUAACGAAUCACAUCCAAAAUCUUUACUAGGCUCAAACAUAAAGAAGACUCAUUUUUAAGAAAAGAUAAAAAUGGCAUUGUCUGAUAGUAUCCAAUACACGAGAUGGCACUUAAUUUGUACAAGAUCUGUCAAUGCUGACGCACAUUUUCUGAUUAAAAAAAAACUGAUCAGUCAAAAGCAAUGAAGAGAAGUGAUGACAAUGAAUGAUGCUUCCAAUAUUUUCACCCCUUAUAGUGUUCUUCAUGAUUCAGAUAUAUAAUUGGAAAUAGAACAACCCUAUGCCAUACAUUCGUCUAAGUAUGGUGUCUAAUUUUUUGUGUCAGCGGUUGCGAAUGGAGCGUGCAAAAGUCCAAAUUGGCGUCUCUCCAUUUCCACAUAGGAAGGUGACCUUUAUUGACAAAUACCCAAUAUUUGUAGACAUUCCUUAAAUAUCAUAACUUCUUGUUGAUUUGAAAAUCAUUUUUCAACUACCAUGUUUUAAUAAAUAUUUUUUAAAAUGUAUUUUUAUCAAAGUCCACCAUGAUGGAUAAUAUUCACCAUGCAAUAAUUAAUAAAGUACAAACUAAGCGAAAUGAAAAGCAUUUUCUUUGCUUUGAGUUGAUUUUGGUUGCAUUGAGUUGAUUUUGGUUUCAUGGUUUUUUCAACUCUUAUUUUGAUUGGAAGAUGUCAAGAAAAGAAAACAUAAAGAAAAAUUAAAAGGGAAAAAAGAAGAAAAAUAAAAAAAAAUAGAUUUAAAAGUUAAUAAAUUAUUUUUUAUAUUUAUUUUAAUUCAUUUCACUUAUUUUUCUUUUACUAUAUAAAAUUUAAAUAAUUUAAAUUUUAUAAUUAAUUUAAUUACAUUUCAUUUUCUUCUAUAUUUAAAUAUUGGAAAAAUAUUUUACUUAAUAUUUUUUUCUUUAAUUUCUUUGGCAUUUUGGGAACCAAACUUAGCCUUUAAAAUAAAAAACAAAAAAAAAAUGAAAAUAAGGAGGGAAAAGUGAGAAAAGAUAAAAACAAUAUGUAAAGGAUUUGAAAAGUAUUAGUUUGUAAUUACUAUUUGGAUUUCAAUAGUAUUUUAUUUGUCUUUCUAUAUUUCAUGUAAGAGAGAAUUUAAGAUAUUCCCCAAGGCAAAGCAUUAGUUACCUGCAAUCAGUGGUGAUAAGGCUCCAAGCCAAUUUUGGGCCCCAUAUCUUAAGACAGUACAAUUUCCAUUUCAACAUUUCUGAUUUCUCAGAUGUUUCACAUACCACAGAAGAACAUUGUUUGUGAAAAUAUGCAUUUAUGUUGGAUUUUGUAUGCUGUGGGGACUGGGGCAAGGAUCAUAUGGAAGAGUGGUUGACUUUUUCUGUACUUUAACGGUUGAAAUAGGAUAAGCACGGGCAUUUGUGAGGCUUAAUUGAUUUUGAAGCCUGAAAUUGCGUUUCUGUCAUUUUGUCAAAAAAAUGGCAGAUUCCAUACUCAUAUGUUUGGCCUGUGGCCAUGUACAGAUGCCAUUUAGUGACCAGUUUGUAACUGUCAAUCGUUGCGUUUUGACUCUGCCUCAACAACAUCUGCCAUUGACGGGUUUUCAUACUUGCAAAUCAAAUAGUCUUUCGUCCCAUCAGGAAUUUCGGUUUAAAUAUUAUUAAGCAUACGUUUGGCUGACAAUCAUUAUCCAGUUCAUGAUUUGGUUUCUUACCCUUAAUCAAUGGUUUCUAAGUGAAUAUAUGUAGAAGGAAAUCCGAAGUGUAGACAGUAGUAUCGAUAACUCUCAAUAUUCUCUAUAUAAUAGAAUAAACAGCGUCAUAGUGAUCGUCGCCUACAAGCAAGGUACAAAUACCAAAACGAGUGACUCACAUAGACAUCUCCCAACAAGAUGUAGUAGUGACUGACACAUGGACACAAUUAACUCGUAGAAAAGGAUAAGACCAUUGCACAGCAGCUCUUAUUUUACAUACUACUUAUGCUAACCAAAGUCAAUUAGUUGGGAUGGGUGGGAGAUGGAGGUUUGUGCGGUGGCUUGUGGGGCGGAGUUGAUGGCUUCUUUCCAGGAGCUUCUGGCUUUUUCAUCGGAGCUGAAGGAGGCUCAAUCUUAUGAGGCGGCUUGUAUGAGUCUUCUUUACUCUCGACAGGAGGGUGGCCAGGGUUGUGAUCAUAAUGUGGUGGCUUCUCUCCCUUAGGUGGCUUGCCAACUGGGGUUGGUGGCUUGUGUUCAGGAAGUGGUUUCUCUCCCAUGGGAGGUUUAGCAAUUGGGGUUGGUGGCUUGUGUUCUGGGAGUGGCUUCUCUCCCUUGGGAGGUUUAGUAGGUGACUUGUGUUCUGGAGGUGGCUUCUCCACCGGAGGCUUGUGCUCCGGUGGUGGCUUCUUGGUUGGAGGGGGCUUGGGGUAAUCAGCAAGAGAUGGGGUGGUGAGAACCACCAGUCCAAGGAACAACACUAGCAAGUAUGUGGGAGACAUUUUUGAGUUUGGGCUGAUCAGAUGAUGCAAAACUAAAGCAUUACGUGACCUUUUAUAGCAUGUAGCUCCCAAUACCCACUAAGUAUUGUGGGGUCCAUUUGUGCCCUACGGGGUUGAAAACUUAGACAAUUGGGCAAGGACCCACCUGACUAUGGAGGACUAGUGAGGUGUGAUCAUAGCUUUAGGAUUUUUCUUCCUCUGCAGCCGUCGUGCCGUUGGCAUGAUUUUCUUAAUCUUAAAUAAAGGCAUAGUUAUAGAGUUGUUUAAUCUCUAAAUGGGAUUUUAUAUAUAUCUUCAGAUAGCCAUUAAUAUAUUUGAUGAAGAAAGAAAGACAAGUGCAUACAACAUGUAUACGACUAGCUUUCAUGGAGUUCAUUUAUGAUCAGUUUUCCUGUACAUGUAAACCAGGAUCAUAUAUAUGUUUCUGUUCCACAACUAUUUUGGAAUCUUGUUUAUCAGUUUUUAUCAUUAUAAUGUCACAUAGGCUGCCAACUUGGGCGCUAAAAGAACCAGUUGGGCUAGUUCGUUUCAGAAUUUCAAUGUGGAUUCAGGAAUUGUUUUGUAAGAUAUGCGAAAUAGUAGAGGGAUGAAUAGUGUUUCAUUAAUAAAAGUGUCCUGUAAAUUAGAAGGUGUCAUAGAAACUAUAAUCAAUAAAUAACUUUUUUUCCCCACGGGUGGUGUUUCUUGUGGGGAUCAGUGACUGGUUUAGGUUCACCCAAAAUGAGUUCAGACUAAAAUUGGUUUGAGUCAAUGCCGUGUCUCUUUUUUCCAGAAAUCAACUAUUUUAUGCAUUGAAUAAAUCAUACAAAGAAAAUAUGAACGCCCGCAAAACCUAAACCCUGGUUGCUAACUUUCUAUGUUUCAGUUCUAUUCACGCAAGAAUAUUAGUUUAAGUUUGGGAAAAAUGGCAACUUACCUAGUGAUUACUUGGUUUUGGUUUGCGACUAUUUACGCAACCAACCAUGAGUUUGACUUUAACGUCAUGGGUUGAAGCCUCCUACAGGAAGGGAGAAAGCUCCACAGCUAGCUCCAAAAGAGAAUUAUCACAUUGAUAGCUCCAGAGAUUCCCAAGGGGACUGAAUCAAAGACAAGUUCCUCACUUUUUCUUCUUUUGAGGCCAAAUAUGAACCAAGGAUCACACAACCUCAUUCAACUUCAUAAGUUUGAUUUCAUGCAGUUGAACACUGGGUGAAGGCCAUGACAAGAAUUGAUUCAAAAAUUCUAUCACUCUUUUAAGUAAUGGAAGAUUAUUAUCUCUGAUUGGCAUCACAACAGCACAUGCUCCUAGAUCUUUCUAGACACUCCAUGCAAUGAAAGCACAAUGGAUCUUGUAACGAUAGAAACUAAGCCAUGCUACAGUACUAGAUGAUGAGGUAAAACUAGUAGACACGGGUGGCAGCCUAUAUGGGAGGGACACAAGUCUAAUUGAUUUGCAUUUCAGCAUUAUAGAUAGGUAUGUUUUGGAAGAUUUGUUCUGGAAAUACCGCACCAAGUAGGAUUCUUUUUCUCUUUAGUGGGUCCACUUGCAUGCCAAUUAACGAGUUGAAAAGUAUGAGCACCUACCUCGUGCUCGUGGAACCGAAGGUCAGUGAAGUGGGGCUCCUUUUGGCCUCGUGUAAACUUGAUUCAGAAGUGAAGUUAAUAGUCUUCCAUUCAGAUGGAUACAUGGGAAUUUUUCUCUUUUAUUUAUUUAUUUAUUUUUUUUUUGUGUGUGUAUGUCAAAGGAUAAUGAAUGAAGCGCGUUAGCUUGUUUUCUGACUGGAACCGCAGAUGUCCAAAUUGGAGUUCCUUCAUUUCUUACUUAGGAUUGUUACAUGUAUAAACAAGGUAUAAGAAAUAUGCCAACGUGUCUUGAGGAGUUAUUGAUUAGAAAUAACAAGUCACCCGACUGUAGAGUUCCAAGAUUUGAAUCUUCAGACCCUAUAGCAGCCUCUGGGGUACGUGGCAUCCUAUAGCAUAUUAAUGAAGGCUUUUUCGAUUUAGACUUCACAAUACCAAUUAAUAUGUAUGCACAAAAUGGAGAUGACCCCAAAAAAAACAGAAUCGCCAUAGUUUAUGAGGUUAAGGUGAUUCUCCACUUAAUAUCUACAUUAGCUAAUUAUGUAAAUCAAAUGAACUUCUAUUUUUCCUUUUUUUUUUUGGUUUAUGUCAAAUAGUAGCCCAUAAUUAACCCAACCAUUAGCCUGUUUGAAUUGAUUUCACAUGCACAAUGUUGUAGUAGUUCAUAUUUUGAAUUUUAUUUUUACAAAGGUAGUUAAGGAAAAUGAAGUAUAAUAAUUAUAAAAGCAGACUAUAUACACUACAAUAAUUGUUAGAAUGGUAUCUCAAAUUCUAAUUUAAAAUAUUAUUUUUUGUAAAAGAAAUAUUAUAUAGAAUAUUUCCUAAUUUUAUAAAUGAUUAUAAUUAGAUCUUUAUAAAAUAAGGAAAGUUGGUAAGAAUAUCUUUAUAAAUAUUUUAGGUCAUGAGAGAAAGAAAUGGGAUAAAAAUGUGAUGAAGAGGUGAAAUAAGAGAGUUGAUUAGGAUAUAGAUGUGAAGAAGAAAGGGAUUCAAUAUAUAUAUAUCUUUCAAUUACCACAUUAAAACCCUGUGAACCUUUUAUAUGGUUUACUUUAUUUUUAUAUUCCUCCUUUAAUAUAUUUACAUUAAUGCUUCCAUUGGCACAACAAUAACGAAUUACAAAUACAAGCAACAAGUCCCAUGUUUUAUUACCAAAAGCAGGUAAAAUCCACCUAAUAUAUUACAAUAUAUUCAUCCAAUAUUUUAGACCAAUUCUUCACCAUAAAUAUCAUAAUGUGGCUUUUGUUCUUUCUUAAAUUUAAAUUGAAUUGUCUUAUAUCAAUUUGUUUGUGAUUUUUUCAUUAACUUCACUUUCAUUUGGUUAUCUUUGGUUUUUGAAAAGUAUUAAGGAAUUAAUUAACAAAAUAAUGUUAAGAAAAAUAAUUUUCUCUCUUUUGAUUUUGAUUUUGUAGUAGAAAAAUAUAAUUAAAAUUAUUUAAAAAGUAUGUAAUUUUAAAUUAUUUAAUAUUUAGAUAAAAAAAAUAAGUCUAAUGAGUUUAAAAUAACAUAUAAAAAUAAUUUAUUUAUUUUAAAUUUAUUUUUUAUUUUCCAUUAUGUUCUCUUUCUCUUUUACUUUUUCAUAUUUUUUCUUACGAAGAAUCAAACACAACCUCAUAUUAUAUGUCAAGUGUUUGUCUAUAUUUGAGCAAUGUUAGAUACGGCCAUGGAUUCAUCAAACUAAACUGAUUUUAAUAGAUACUUCACAAAUUGAUUUAUACACUAAAUCAUUGGAUAGCAAUGAUGCAUUGGAAUUAAACGUAGGAUGAAGCUCGAAGAACACUGUUUGUGUAACAACAUAUUUAUGAAAUUAUGCAAAGGAUGAGCUUCGGGGUAGUAGUACAAGGUCAUUAAUGGAGAGCCGUGUUAAACCUUGAUUGUGAUUGGAUUCCGUUAUCAGCAACAGCAACCUUGUUUGUAACCUUGAAAGUCAUUCUGUCCACAUCGAAACUCCAAUUUGACGUUUGUAAUUACCAUUCCUGGAGUGUUCCUUGAUUGAAAUUUAAAUAAUAAUUGCGGCCCACAAGGAAUAUUUUCGAUUCUGUGGGAAUUUGACAAGGUUUGUUAGAGAAGACUGGUGACAUGUUGACUUCAAUGGUUCAAAUAGGAGACGUAUGUGGAUUUGGGGGGUUUAAUUGAAACUGAGUCCCUAUGGCUUUUUAAUAUUUGCAUUGAGCAGUCUCCAUGUGACUUCCUAAUUCCCACCAACCCUCCUGUCCAUGCUGUGAAACUAAAUUGUAAUUUAUCAGCCUUUGUCAAUGGUUUCUAAAUUAAAGAUAUAGACCAUGCAUGUACUUUAAUAAAAGCAAAUCUAAAGUGUAGAUAGCAGCAAUGGUGACACCCAAUAUUCUCCAUAAAAUAGAAUUAGAAUAAGCAGUGUUACAUUGUUCAUGAUCACCUACAAGCAUACAAGAACUUCCAUGAAUAACUCAUAGCAAUUGCCAACAGGGCGUCGUAGAGACUCAUACAUAGAACACUAUCCACCCAGAGGAAAGGACAAGACCAGUGCGCUGCAGCUCUUAUUUUUCACAUGUAUACCACCACUCGUAAUAACCAAAUUCACUCAGUUGGGAUAGGUGGGAGAUGGUGGUUUGUGGGGUGGCUUGUGGGGAGGAGUUGGAGGAGGCUUUAUUUUCUGAGGCGGCUUGUAUGAGUGUGCAGGAGGAUGCCCGGGAGUGUGACCAUAAUGUGGUGGCUUCUCUCCCGUAGGUGGUUUGCCAAAUGGGCUUGGUGGCUUCUCUCCCUUAGGAGGUUUACCAAUUGGGGUUGGUGGCUUGUGUUCUGGGAGUGGUUUCUCUCCCUUGGUAGGUUUGCCAAUUGGGGUUGGCGGCUUAUGUUCUGGGAGUGGCUUCUCUCCCUUGGGAGGUUUGCUAAUUGGGGUUGGCGGCUUAUGUUCUGGGGGCGGCUUCUCUCCCUUGGGAGGUUUGCCAAUUGGAGUUGGCGGCUUAUGUUCUGGGAGUGGCUUUUCUCCCUUGGGAGGCUUGCCAAUUGGGGUUGGCGGCUUAUGUUCUGGGGGUGGCUUCUCUCCUUUAGGAGGUUUGCCAAUUGGAGUCGGCGGCUUAUGUUCUGGAAGUGGCUUUUUUCCCUUGGGAGGUUUGCCAAUUGGGGUUGGCGGCUUAUGUUCUGGGGGUGGCUUCUCUCCCUUGGGAGGUUUGCCAAUUGGAGUCGGCGGCUUAUGUUCUGGGAGUGGCUUCUCUCCCUUGGGAGGUUUUGUUGGUGGCUUGUGUUCUGGAGAUGGCUUCUCCCCUGGAGGCUUGUGCUCCGGAGGUGGCUUCUGAAAUGGCGGGGGCUUGGGGUAAUGAGCAAGAGAUGGAGUACUGGUGAGAACCACCAUUCCAAGCAACAAUACUAGCAAGCAUGUGGGAGACAUCUUUGAGUAGUUGUAGCUAAGAUGGCGCAACACUGUAGGCAUUGGGUGGCCUUUUAUAAAGGGCUGGACCCAACAGCCAUAUGACACGUGUCAUGAUGACAAAUGAAGUUGAGGGGAUCCAGAUGGGUCCUACUGAGUCGAAAACUUGCACUAAUUGAUCUGGUGAGAUGACUAUUUCUGUCCUUUUGCCCUUCUCGGCCACCCUGUGCUGUUUUCCUUUUGCACGAUUUUCGUUGCCAAACAAGCAAAUAAUAUUUCGCCAAGAAAGAGGAGAGUGAAUGUGGAAUGCAUCAAGUCCCAUCAAGGAUGGCAGAGAAGAAAUAGAAGAUUGCCCAACUGUGAUAAACAUAGCAUACACGUAGCACCAGGAACUUCAUUUACUUCCAUCUAAUGGAACAUAACAAUCUUCUAAAGUUUUUGCAUGAUUUUGUUAUAUGUCUCUUAGCCUAAAGUUGGAAAUGCGCAACAAAUUUUGUCACUUCUCUAUUUCCCACUGAUGAUGUUAAUUAGCCUUCAUAGAUAUCAUCCUUUCUACAAAGUGCUUCAUUUGUGUGUUAUUGUAAAGUGUAAGAAAAGUAAUUGAACAUGUUCUUUUUCCUUUCAUAGAUGACUUUUGAUGUGCAUUUUAAAAGCAGCGCUGUGAGUCGGUGACCUUGAUUCACACGGAAACUAAGGCUCCUAUAGGACCCACUUUUAGCUGGUUAGGGGUGAAGAAAAUAUCAACUUUUCAGAGUGAUUUAAGUCAAGGCCAAGCCUCACUGUGUCAUUACUCGUGUGAAUUUUAUAUGCACAUACAUACAUAAAUAAAGUAUGAGACCCAAAUAACACCUUCCCUUUACAAACUUAACCCCAGCCGCUCUCUUUCAAUUCUUUUCACACAAGGGUAUUGACUCUAUAAAGGUCAAGAAAAUCAUAAUUUCCUAGGGUUUACAAGGUAAUUGGCUUAAUGCUAAUGUGAAAACAUAAAAGAUAAUAGUAUAUUGUAAGCUAACGAAUAUUCUAUAGUUAUAAUUAUUUGUGAUGUGCAUAAAUAAAUCUUCAUAUAUAUAAUGGAACAAUGAAUAAAGAACCAAUGAAAAAAUACUAUAUAUCAUUGCUUGGCAUUUAAACCGUAUAUGCUGCUCUUUCUAGCUACUCCAUCCACUGAAAGACAACAAGGUAAUCCAUGUUAUAAUGAUAGAAGAUACUGUCUCUAGGCUUUUUGUGAUGAAAAAUAUAAGAUAUGGGUAGGGUUGACCCUUGUAUGUUUGUCCUAUAAACACUUCAAAGUAACAUAUUUUUCUUCUUUAGCAACUCAUAAUGAUGGGGUUCAUUUGCAUGUCACUGAGUUGAAAAGUUGGACAAUUGCCCAUGUCGCCUUCCUCCUAGAUUCCGUAGUUCACGGGAAGGUAACUCAAGUUUGACAUAUUUUGAAUUCUUUUCACUCGGACGUCUUCAUAACCUGACAAAACAAAAAUGAAAAACAGAGGAUUGGUAUAUUAUUCAUGGUAAGCCUCAAAUUAUAGUAGUAUGAGAAAGGAGAAAAAGAUUUUGGGAACUCCAAUCUGGAUAAUUCUCGUUUCUUCUCUUGAAUAAAAAUUUCACUUACCUAACUUCGUUUGGAGAAAUGGCAUAUUUUAAUUUUGUACGUCAUUGCUAAUAAAUGGAGCAAUUUAGCAUGUUUUGUGACUGAAACUGCAAAUGUCCAAUUGGCAUUUCUUCAUUUCCCACUUAGGAUCUGAUCUUGUAGACCAUAUAACGAUAUGUAUCUGUGCAAGCAUUGAAAACUAAUGUGAACUAUGAGGAGUUACAAGCCACUGGACUGUAGAGCGAGUGCCAAGAUUUAAAUCUUCAGGCUCUAUCUGGGUAAGGGGAGGAUAGCGACCUAACCUUUUACCAAAGGCUUAGAAUUUAGACUUUUGGAAAAAAAUUUCUCAUGUUUUGGCUGGAUUUCUUGUGCUUGGCGCAAAAAGGAGAUGGCCUCAAGAAAUAGCAGACUCACUUUUGUUUUCAGCCCUUAAUAAUUCUCCACUGCUUUCCAUAACUACAUGGGUUAUACAUGCAGUCUGCUGCAAUAUUCCAGUUAUAUUUAUUAUUUCAAAGAGGGUGAAUGACUUCACAUGCAAUAUGUUGCAGUAACAACCCAAAUUUUGGCACACCAUCUUAAGAAUAGAAAAGUAUAAUAAAAGAAAUCAAUCAGAGAAUCACUUUGCAUGCAGUUCAUAGAGUUCGCCCAAAAUGGAGCCACAUGUACGGACAACCCCACAAUAGACAAUCUUCUCUAUACAGUAAUAAAAUACAGAAAUGGUUAAUGAAGCUCUGUAUUUCCUUAUCAUAUAUGACCGGUUGAAAACUCAGCAAGUCUUCCUCAAUCACAGACAGUUGGAGUUGCUUCAUCAAAAUCAUGCCUUCAUUACUGGCUUCAUUUUGGUUUCAAUGUCUGUUCUACCCUUAAAUUGGGUCUCUGCUUACUACCGGGAUAUCCUUUAGCGUCCUGCAAUUCUACUAGAUUAAAGAGAAUGACUUAAUUCUGCAUUCUGCCGUCCCUAGUCCAAGUGGUACUAGAAUUGAUGUUUCCUUUAGUGUCCUUUCUUCAUACUUUCAGGUUCUUCCCUUGUUUCAAUAAUGCUGUUUUCCUUCAUGUUUAACCUCUGUUGAACCACUUAAAACAACACAAUUUGCACACCAAUGUUUCUUUACAGAAAAGACUGUUUGCAAAAAUGCACAUGUUAUAAGGUUAAUGGAAGAAUUAAUUUGGGGAUAAGGGACUAGGAUUGGGCCAAUGAAGUUUGGUGUUAAAUUUUGAUUAUGAUUGCUUUUCAUUAUCAGGUACCUUAUAUUUGCUGAUGCUAUCUGGAACUAAAUUCAAAUCAGACAUUAUCCGAUUACUAACAGGACAUAUCAUGUCCCUCUGCAGAGUUUCUAAACUAACAUGUAUCGAAAUGUGGCCCCAAAAGGAAGGCUAGGAAGAUGGAGGAUUUUGUAGGAAUCGACCAGAAUCAGAUGGAAGAGAGAUAGUCCUGUUGACUUUAAUGGUUGUGAUAGGAACAUGCAUCAUUAUAUGAGAAGUUGCAUGAAUUUAUGUAUCCUGUUAUCGUUCCUUGACGAUUUCCCAAUGCAAUUUCACUGUCCACAAGACUAACCUCUCCAUGCAGUCAAAUGAAUUGUAAUUUCUCUAUUGGUACCAGUAGUACAUUUCAUACCAAACAUAUAGUAAAUAUAAAAUAUAAAUAGAUCAAGGAAAUCUGAAUUGUAGAUAGCACUGCAAGUAACACUCAAUAUUCUCUAUAUAUAAUAAAAUAAACAGUGUCACAAUACUCAUCACCCAGUGGCAAGGGAGAAAAACCUACAAUGAGUACUCAAAUCACCAUUCUCAAACAGAAACAUAGCAGUGACUGAUACAUAGAACCUAUAUGCUCACAGGGAAAGAAUAAGAUGACCAGUGCACAGCGGGCAGCAGCUCUUAUUUUACGUACAACUCAAAUCCCAAACUAACCAAAGUCGCUCAGUUGGGAUGGGUGGGAGAUGGUGGUUUGUGGGAUGGCUUCUGGGUAGGAGCUGGUGGCUUCUGUCCCUUUGGUGGUUUGCCUAAUGAGCUUGGUGGCUUGUGCUCCGGGAGUUGUUUCUCUCCCUCGAGUAGGUUUCGAGUCUUGUCAGAUGGCUUGUGUUCUGGUGGUGGCUUCUCUCCCUGGGGUGGUUUGCCGAAUGGGCUUGGUGGCUUGUGUUCGGGGAGUGGCUUCUCUCCCUGGAGAAGGUUACGAGUUUUGUCAUAUGGCUUUUGUUCUGGUGGUGGCUUCUCUCCCUGGGGUGGUUUGCCGAAUGGGCUUGGUGGCUUGUGUUCGGGGAGUGGCUUCUCUCCCUGGAGAAGGUUACGAGUUUUGUCAGAUGGCUUGUGUUCUGGUGGUGGCUUCUCUCCCUGGGGUGGUUUGCCGAAUGGGCUUGGUGGCUUGUGUUCGGGGAGUGGCUUCUCUCCCUGGAGAAGGUUACGAGUUUUGUCAGAUGGCUUUUGUUCUGGUGGCGGCUUCUCUCCCUGGGGUGGUUUGCCAAAUGGGCUUGGUGGCUUGUGUUCGGGAACUGGCUUCUCUCCCUUGGGAGGUUCAGUUGGUGGCUGCUGUUCCGUAGGUGGUUUCUUCACCGGCGGCUUGUGCUCCGGAAGCGGCUUCUCUACCUGGAGAAGCUUACGAGUUUUGUCCGAUGGCUUGUGUUGUGGUGGUGGCUUCUCUCCCUGGGGUGGUUUGCCAAAUGGAGUUGGUGGCUUGUGUUCGGGGAGUGGCUUCUCUCCAUUGGGAGGUUUAGUUGGUGAUUGGUGUUCCGUAGGUGGUUUCUGAAGUGGGGGAUGCUUGGGGUAGUCAGCAAGAGACGAGGUAGUGAGAACCACCAGUCCCAGCAGCAACACUAGCAAGCAUGUGGAAGACAUCUUUGAGUUCAGGCUGAGAUCUGUGCAAGGAUAACAGAAUUAGGUGGCCUUUUAUAGAGGCCUGGACCCAACACCCAUAUGACACGUGUCAUGCACUCAUGGUGACACAUAAUUCUAUGGGACCAUUUGGGUCCUACAGAAGUUGCAAAGUUGGACUACUGAGGUGUGAUCACAACUUUUGUCCUUAUUGCUUUCUCUGCGGCCAUUGCACGAUUUCCUUUAGCAUCAUUUUCUUGGCUAAAUAAGCGUAUUAUAUUUGUGGCAGACCGUCCACGUGUCAUAAACAGAUAUAUUAUAAUAAUGUAGUAUGCUUUUCUCCAAUGGAACAUGACACUCUUCUAAGUCUUGUUUUAAAUAUUGUGCAGGAUUACUUUAUACGUUGCAGUUCCAAGUCAAAAUUGGUGGGCAAACGUUGGCCUUUUUUCAUUUCACCUAAGAUUAAUGCUCACCUGGGAUAGGCACUACAUGACUUAUCUGCUCUUUUACUGUAAAGUUGCUUUGUGUAUGAGAUACACCUCCCCUGCACACCCUCAACAUUCGUUGCUCUGUUUUCCUUGUGUCCAGACGAGGAUAUUAAUUGGAGGCUGACAAAACGACUGCUAGCCCAGGAUUUACAAGGUCCUGGUUUGAGGCUUCGGUGAAAGUAUUUUUGAAAAGACACACAUAGAGAUAGUGCGUUUGGUGCAAUGCAGCACUGUGAGCCAUUCUGACGCGUUCUUAAUUUCAAAACUAAUGAAUGCUUCAAAAUUUUAAGAAGUGACAUUUCCAAAUAUUUGAGUUCGUUUAAUUGAACAUUGGAUAACUAGUGAUCAUAGAUUAUUAUCUGUGCUUGGCACUAUAAGAGGGUAUAUGCUUCUUUUUCUGGCCCCUCCUUCAAGGGAGGAGGGACAAUGUGAUCUGUAACGUUAGAAGCUAUUCCAUGUCAUCUUUGGGCUCAGUUCAAAACUAAAAGAUAAUGGGGGGGGGGGGGGGGGGCAUAUCAUUUUAUAUUUCUUCUAGAAGGUUUGUUCUGGAAAUAUUUCACAGGAGCAUAUCUUUUUCUUCUAUUACGUCAUCCGCAGCCUCCAAUAGGUCGGUUAACAAGCCACCGAGUUGAAAAGUUGGAAAAAUGGGAACACAGCCCGCCUCUUGUAUUCAGUAGUUAAAUAAAAGGUCACUAGAAGUGAGAUCCCUUUUGGCGUCUUGAUUUUCAAUCCAGCACCUCUGUGACCUGACAAACCAAAAAAACUAAAAAAUAAAAAACAGUACGUGGGUUGGUGUUAAGCAUCAAGACAUGUUAAUGAAAGAAGGUAGAGAAUAGGAUAUUGAAAUCCCAAUCCUGAUAACAUGAUUUUCUUUGCUAACAACCAUAUUAUAUUUUAUCAAGAAAGAGUAAUGCAUGUGGCGUCCAUCAAGACCCAUUAGAGUUCCGCUAAAGCUAUAGUUCUGUCAACGUUAUCAUUUACGUUUCCUCUAGAUAAUGGCAUUUUCCUCUAAAGCUCUUGCACCAUUAGGCUUCAAGUCAAAAUUUCACAUGUGAACUUUGGAAAUUUUCUCCAUUUGCCCCUAAGGAUACAGUUAGAAUUGACUUAAAAUCCUGAUUGAUAUGUACUAUUAACCAAAGAAUAUUGUAUAUAAUAAUUGAAAUAUUGUUGAUUCAUCGUGGAAAUACAUUUUGUAAGGAAAGUUGUUGAGAAUUUAGUAUGCUAUAUGGAGAAAAAAGUCAUGACUUAAGGUUGUGUAUGUAUAUUCUAUAUCAAAUAUUAGGUAGGAAUGUGGGAAAGAGCAGAGUGUAAUGAUAAGAAACAAAGAAAUAUAAGAUAUUCUUGAAAGUGGAAAAUAUAAAAUGGCUAACGAGUCAAAUUUAUGAUGCGUAAGGGGGAUCAUGUCACAUAAGAAAACCAUGGCAUACUAAAGACGUACGUGUGGUAUGGAGUAAUAAUUUUGUUAAAAUAAGUUUCUUGUUGGAGUACAUUAGGUGACUAUUCAUAACGUAUCAAAUUAAAGAGUCAAGUGCAUCAAUGAAGGCAUAUGUAGAAAAUUUGUUUGUGACAUGUACCAUAAAGAUAAGAUUGACUUGAUAGAAUUUAGUCUAAGUAGGAGUUGUUAAAGGUGUCUUAAAUUUCUAAUUGAUGUAUAUUUUUUUCUAAAAAAAUAUUAUAUAGAUAUUUUAAUAAAUGAUUAAUUCUUUGUAAAAAUACUUACAUAAUAAAAAACAUCAUUAAAAAUAUCUUUAUAAAUAUUUUAAGUUACAAGAAGGAAAAAAACCACUGUGAGAUAAUGAUGAACAUGCAACACUGUACCAAGUAAAUAAAAAUGUGAUAAAAAAAAAAGAGAAACACUCGAUAAAGGAAGGCUCGUAUAUAAAGAGUAAUAUUUUUAAUCAUAUGAUAGAAUGAUUUUCUCUCAUUCAUGAAUAUAGGCAAGAUUGGGGAACCAUUAUAAAAUUUUGUACACCUCGUGUAAAUUGAUGUUUGUCUUCAUAUUUUACACCAACAAAUGACAUUGAAGUUGUCAUUGAUAAAAGGGAAAAGGCAUGCCUCCACACCAUGUGCUUGAUUCGAAUGGUUCAAGUUUGAAGAAUUUUCUCCGGAAGAUCUAAAACAUUUUCGCCUUUAAAUUUCAUUUGAUUAUUAAUAUCCGAAAAAAUAGUUAAAUACUCUUUCUAUUUUUGAGUUGUUGAAUUUUUUGAAAGUUUUUAUAUUUGUUAUCAAGAAUUUCUAUUUUAUUAAGGGUGAAUAUUUAUAAAUAAGAUAUUAUAUAAUAUUUGGAUAAGAGAGAAUGGUGGAAUAUAAUAAAGUUUUAAUCCUUCCCAAUUUUGAACCUUUUUUUUUUUUUUUGAUAUAAUCGCCUUUCUCUUGCAAUCCUAUUAUCAGGUACCUUAUAUUUGCUGAUGCUAUCUGGAACUAAAUUCCAAUCAGGCAUUGUCCAAUUACUAAUAGGACAGAUCAUAUCUCUCUGUUUCUAAACUAACAUGUAUCGUAAUGUGACCUCAUAAGGAAGGCUAGGAAGAUGGAGGAUUUUGUGGGAAGCGACCAGAAUCAGAUGGAAGAGAGAUAGCCCUGUUGACCUAAUGGCUGUAAUAGGAGAAGCGUGUGGUUUUAUGGGACUUAACUGAUACUAAACCUGUAUGAUGCUUGGAGUGGUGUUUCUUUCAUUUUGUUAAGAAAAUAUGGCAGCAUACAUGCUUUCAACUGAGUGCAUCAGAGCAUCCAUAACAGAUGGUCUGCAACCCUAGGUGCAUGCCACUUUCUGACUGAUAAUGAAAUUGUCAGGUACCUGGCCUUGACUAAGCUCAACAGCAUCACAUAAAGAGAAGCUUUCAUACUUAGAUUACUGUUUAAAGUUUUUGCUUAUUUGAUUUCUUAAUGCCAUUAUGACAUUAUUGAUUCAAUUCUGCUUCCGAUUUUCGAAGUUCUGGGCAUCUACUGAUUGCAUCAUUAUAUGAGAAGUUGCAUGAGUUUAUGUAUCCUGUUAUUGUUCCUUUGCGAUUUCACUGCUCACGGGACUAACCUCUCCAUUCAGUCGAAAUGAAUUGUAAUUUCUUUACUGGUAGCAGUAGUACUUUUCAUAGCAAAGAUAAUAGAAAAUAUGAAAUAUAAAUAGAAGGAAAUCUGGAUUGUAGAUAGCACCAUAAGUAACACUCAAUAUUCACUACAUAAUAAAUAGACAGUGUUACAUAGGUAGAGAAACCUACAAUGAGUACUCAUCACCAUUCUCAAACAGAAACAUAGCAGCGACUUAUACAUAGAACCUAUAGGCUCGCAGGGAAAGAGUAACAUGAUAAGUUCACAGCGGGUAGCAGCUCUUAUUUUACGUAUUACUCAAAAUCUCAAACUAACCAAAGUCACUCAGUUGGGAUGGGUAGGAGAUGGUGGUUUGUGGGGUGGCUUCUGGGUAGGAGCUGGUGGCUUCUUUGUUGGAGUUGAAGGAGGCAUAUUCUUCUGAGGUGGCUUGUAUGACUCUUCGGCACUCUCUGCAGGAGGGUGCCCAGGGUUGUGACCAGAAGGAGGUGGCUUCUGUCCCUUUGGUGGUUUGCCUAAUGGGCUUGGUGGCUUGUGCUCCGGGAGUUGUUUCUCUCCCUCGAGUAGGUUUCGAGUUUUGUCAGAUGGCUUGUGUUCUGGUGGUGGCUUCUCUCCCUGGGGUGGUUUGCCGAAUGGGCUUGGUGGCUUGUGUUCGGGGAGUGGCUUCUCUCCCUGGAGAAGGUUACGAGUUUUGUCAGAUGGCUUUUGUUCUGGUGGCGGCUUCUCUCCCUGGGGUGGUUUGCCAAAUGGGCUUGGUGGCUUGUGUUCGGGAACUGGCUUCUCUCCCUUGGGAGGUUCAUUUGGUGGCUGGUGUUCCGUAGGUGGUUCCUUCACCGGCGGCUUGUGCUCCGGAAGCGGCUUCUCUACCUGGAGAAGCUUACGAGUUUUGUCAGAUGGCUUGUGUUGUGGUGGUGGCUUCUCUCCCGGGGGUGGUUUGCCAAAUGGACUUGGUGGCUUGUGUUCGGGGAGUGGCUUCUCUCCAUGGGGAGGUUUAGUUGGUGGUUGGUGUUGCGUAGGUGGUUUCUGAAGUGGGGGAUGCUUGGGGUAGUCAGCAAUAGACGAGGUAGUGAGAACCACCAGUCCCAACAGCAACACUAGCAAGGAUGUUGAAGACAUCUUUGAGUUCAGGCUGAGAUCUGUGCAAGGAUAAAAGAUUUAGGUGGCCUUUUAUAGAGGGCUGGACCCAACACCCAUAUGACACGUGUCAUGCACUCAUGGUGACACAUAAUUCUAUGGGACCAUUUGGGUCCUACAGAAGUUGCAAAGUUGGACUAUUGAGGUGUGAUCACAACUUUUGUCCUACUUGCUUUCUCUGCGGCCAUUGCACGAUUUCCUUUAGCAUCAUUUUCUUGUCUAAAUAAGCGUAUUAUAUUUGUGGCAGACCGUCCACGUGUCAUAAACAGAUAUAUUAUAAUAAUGUAGUAUGCUUUUCUUCAACGGAACUUGACACUCUUCUAAGUCUUGUUUUAAAUACUGUGCAGGAUUACGUCAUAAGUUGCUUGUUCCAAGUCAAAAUUGGUGGGCAAACGUUGGCCUUUUUUCAUUUUCCCUAAUAUUAAUGCUCACCUGGGAUAGGCACUACAUGAUUUAUCUGCUCUUUUACUGUGAAGUUGCUUUGUGCAUGAGUUACACCUCCCCUGCACACCCUCAACAUUUGUUGCUCUGUUUUUCUUGUGUCCAGACGAGGAUAUUAAUUGGAGGCUGACAAAACGACUGCUAGCCAAGGAUUUACAAGGUCCUGGUUUGAGGCUUUCACGAAAGUAUUUUUGAAAAGAUACACAUAGAGAUUGCGCGUUCGGUGCAAUGCAACAAUGUGAGCCAUUCUGAAGUCUUAAAUUUCAGAUUAAUGAAUGCUACAAAAUUCUAAGAAGGGCCGUUUCCAAAUAUUUGAGUUCAUUCAUCCGAACAUCGGGUAUAUGCUUCUUUCUCUAGCCCCUCCUUGAAGGGAGGAGGGACAAUGUGAUCUGUAUCGUUAGAAGCUAUUCCAUGUCGUCAUCUUUGGGCUCAGUUCAAUACUAAAAGAUAUGGGCGGGGCCCUUAUCAUUUUAUAUUUCUUCUAGAAGGUUUAUUCUGGAAAUCUUUCACAGAAACAUAUCUUUUUCUUCUCUACGUGAUCCGUGGUUUGAAAGUUGGAAAAAUGGGUCCGUUAACAAGCCACCGAGUUGAAAAGUUGGAAAAAUGGCAACACCGCCAACCUCUUGUAUUCGAUAGUUAAAUAAAAGGUCACUGGAAGUGAGAUCCCUUUUGGCCUCUUGAUUUUCAUUCCAGCAUCUCUAUGGCCUGAUAAAUUAAAAAACUAAAAAAAAAGACAGUACGUGGGUUGGUGUUAAGCAUCAAGAGUCAAGACAUGAUAAUGGAGAGAAAGGAUAUUCAAAUUCCAGUUCUGACAACAUGAUUUUCUUUGCUGAACUACCAUAUUAUAUUUGAUCAAGAAAGAGUAGUGCAUGUGGCCAGGAUCAAGACAUACAUUAAUUUCCACAUGAUGAAGACAGUUUCUGAGAGUUUCUUCUAAAGCUCUUGCGCGAGUAGGCUUCAAGUCAAAAUCUCCCAUGUAAACACUGGUUUUUCUUUCAUUGCCACUAAGGAUGCAGUUAAUAUUGACUUAAGAUCCUACGUGAUAUAUUUUUUUAAAAGAGCUAUAUUGUAGAUAAUAUUUGAAAUAAUGUUGAUUCGUUGUGGAAAUAUAUUUGUAAGGAAAGUUGUUGACAAUUUAAUAUAGUAUAAGAAGAAAAAAGUUAUCAACUAGCUAGAGAUGAGUAUGUAAAGUGAGGCUCACGAUUCAACGCGUAAAUAUAAGAUAUUUUAAGGCUCAAUAGUUAUGAUAUCUAUUUUAUUUUUUGUAUCUCAUAUAUUCAAAGAUAUAGUAAAAUGAUUUUACAUAUAUAUAUAUAUAUAUAUAUGAACAUAACUAUUUGUGCCAAUUGAUUUUUAUCUUUAUUUUGUAUAUUAGUAAUUAUAUUAAAGUUUUUACUAAUAUAAUAACUAAUAUAAAAGCUUUUUCUAAAAGAGUCAACAGAGCAAAACACUUAUUAUAAAAAAUAAUUUUGAUUGAAGGUGGAGUCAAUUAUUCUUUAUUUAACAUGUAAUGCAUACGGCGUGUACUUCAUAACUAAAGUAUAUAAGUGUAACAUCUCUUAUAUAUUCUCAUUCAAUCUCGAAAGUGGAAAUUUUAAAAAGAUUAAACGGUUCAAAUUUGUCGUGCAUAAAGGGGAUCAUGUCACAUAAGCAAACCAUGGCAUACCAAAGACAUAGGUAUGGACUAAGAAUUUUUUUCAAAUAAGUUUCUUAUUAGGGUACAUUAAUAGGUGACUUUUUAUGACAUAUCAAAGGAGUCAAGUGCACCAAUAAAAACAUAUAUAGAAAAUUCAUGCAUGACAUGUAUCACUAAGAGAAGAUUGACUUGAUAGAGUUUAAUCCAAAUAGGAGAUUGUUAAAAGGUGUCUCAAAUUCUUGAUUGAUAUAUAUUUUUUUUAUUAAAAAGGUUAUUAUAUAGAUAUUUCAAUAGACUAUUAAUUCUUUGUAAAAAUAGUUAUAUAAUGAGGAUGGUGAUUAAAAAUAUCUCUAUCAAUAUUUUGGAUUAUAAAAAGAAAAAAAAUGAGAUAAUGAUAAACAUAUAAAACUUGUACAAGUAGAUAAAGAUGUGAUGAAAGACACUUGAUGAAUGAAGGCUUUGUAUUUCAAGAUAUAAAUAUAUGGAGCAAAACUCUUAAUUAUAUGAUCAAAUGAUUCUCUCAUAUUCAUGAAUAUAAGCAGGAUUGGGGAACCAUGAUAGAAUCUUAUAUGCCUCUCCAUGUAGAGUGAUCGAUGUUUAUCUUCAUAUUUUACACCAGUGAAUGACAUUGAAACUCUUAUUGAUAAAAGGGAAAAGGCAUGGCCUCCACCCCAAGAAAAACAAGUAACCUCGGUUUAAAUCACUAGUCUACACCCCGAAGAGAGAACUAGCCAAACCUACUAAAAGAGAAACUUAACAAUUUAGAAAGAAACCGUCCAUGAUAAAGGGCCCCUAAAGGUCCAAUUCAGUGAGGUCGUGAACAAAAACACUUUCAUGUCAAAACAGAGAUAGGUACCACCAAAAUGUAAAGGGAAAGAUGUAAACCACGUCGAACUUUGGUAAUCAAUGGUAAAGAUAGCAUGAUAGCUAAAAGCACUAAAGCUGUGCUUGGUAUGCAAAAAUGAAAAGUGGAAAUCAGCGUCUUAUUCUUUUUCACCUUUAUUCACAUAUUAGGAUAACUAAUAUCUAAUGUUUUUUAUGUCUCAAAUUCUAUUCCAUGUUAUGGUAAACUUUCAUCUUGUUUAGAUCACUUUUGUCUGGUUUGGGCUCAAGACGAUAAGCCUAUAGAGACUUCAUAUUGGGUUGAAUCGAUGCCCUUGAUCUGAUCUGUUCGUUAGAAAAAUCUGAAUUAUUAUAAGCAUUUAGAUAAAAAAUAAAUAAAUGUGAAACACAAACUACUCCCUGCACAACCUUGACCCUAGUUACUCAGUUUCACUGCUCACAGGACUAACCUCUCCAUUCAGUCGAAAUGAAUUGUAACAAGAAGAUUUUUGACAGGAGGACGGUAGUUUAAAAUAAUAAUUUCUAAAGUACUUUUGUGAAAAAAAAUAAUUCCAAACGUGGAUUUUAUCAAGUAAAAAGAAAAAAAAAAGUUAUUUUCUUUUAAAAUCUGUUCUUCUAAAGAUGAUAUAUAUACCAAAAAAAAAAAUUGUUUUCUGAAGGUAAAAUUUUUAAAAUUCAUUUUUAAAAAAAUUUACACACUAAAAUUAUCUUUUCAAGAGAAGAUUUUUUUAAUUUUAAAUAAUUAUUAAUUUAUAAUUAAUUUGUUAUUAAUUAUUUAUUAAUUUUUUUAUUUGAAAAAUGCAUUUAUAAAAAACAAAUUUGUUAUUAAUUUAUUAAAUAAUUUUUACAAAAUAAAUAAUUUUUUUUUAUUUUAAUUUUAAAAUUAAUUUUAUUAUAUAAAUUUUAAAAUUAAAAAUAUUAAUAUUUAAUUUAAAAUUUAACUAUAAAAGGAAUAAAAUAUAGAAAAAUAAAUUAAUUUAUUAUUCAAUAAAUUAAUUUUCAAUAAAAUUUUCAGCAUUAAGAGAUAAAUUUUUAAGUAUUAAUCAAUUUAAAAAGAAAUAAUGAUCAUUUGUAUAUUAAGAUAUUUUAUUUAGUAAUUAUGAAUGAUAAACAACUAAAGUAAUUUGAAAAAAUAAUAAAAUAUUUAAAAAAUAAUAAUUUAAUACACGUAAAAUUAGAAAUGAUUAACUAUUUUUUAUUAAGAAAAAAUUGAGGAAAUAUUUUGUUAUUUAAAAUUUUUUAUUUGUUUUCAAUUUUUAAUGUUAUAGGUUUCAAGAAAAUUGAUCAAAUAAAAAUUAAGAAGUCAUUUUUUCAAAAACUAUAUAUCUAAAUAAAAGCCUUGAAAUUCAAAUACACAAUAUCAUAAAUAUAAACACCAAGUCAAUCCUUAAUUAUCAAAUGUUUUUAAUAUUAAAGAAUCAAAAUCACCUACUAUCAUGAUAAUAAGAAAACCAAUAAUAUUGUUCAUAUAAAUACUAAAAAGCUAACAAAUAUCCCAAACAAUUAAUAAAGUAUCAAACAUGAUAAAAAGUCAAUUAUUAUCAUGAAUGCAAAAAAUCAAUAAUUUUGUUUAUAUGAACCAUCAACAAAGAAAAAAAAAAUCAAUAUCUAAAUAUUAAACAUAAUUUAUAUUUUUAUAAAUAUUAUUGUUGAUAAAUAUCUUAACAAUUAUAAUUUUAGUAAAUAAAAUUAAUUAAUUUUAGUUUAAGAAUUAUUUUUUUAUACUUUCGUAUUCUUAUCAAAAAUCCCCAUUUUGCAUGUCUCCUUUGGCAUGACUUUCUUACCUAAACAAGCAUAUAUAUAUAUAUAUAUAUAUAAAAUAUUUGGUUAAGAAAGAGUACUAAAGUUUAUAUGGCACACAUCAAGAUAGAAACAGAAGUGGAAGAUAAUCCAAAUGUAUGAACAGAUAUAUUAUAUCCAUGUAGUGGUAGUGACUUCAUUAUUUACUUUUAUCUAAUGGAGCAUGACACACUUCUUCUGAAUAUUUUGCACGAUUAUGUUAUGUGUCAGCUUGUUCUAAGUCAAAACUAGUGAUAAAAAUCGGUUUUUUUUGCAUUUCCUUCAUGAAGAUGGCACCUGGAUGGGGCACUACAUGAGUGGCAUAGCACGAAGUGAUUUAUCUGCUCCCUUUACUAUAAAGUGCUUUGUGUAUAAGUUACACCUCCCCUGCACUGCCUCAACAUUUGUUGUUCUGUCUUCCGUCUGUCCAAACGAGGACAAACGUAUGUUGUAGGUUGACAAAACCACAGCUAGCCUAGGAUUUGCAAGGAUCUAGUUUGAUUCGUAUGCAAAAGGAUUGGUGAAAAGAUUCACAAAGAUAAUGCUUUUUGCAAUGCAAUCUUGUUCUAAUUCAACAGUGUGGACCAUUUUCAUGUAAUGCUUCAACUAGAUGUCAGUUUCAUGAAUUUUUGUUCAUCUAAUUGAUCACUGGAUAGGCCAUAACCCGAAGAAAUUCAAAAUUCCCUUCAGUACUGUAGCUAAGGAAAGAUCCCUAUCUACCACUGGGAUUUUAAGAGGGUAAAAAUGUAGGUGGGUGCCUAUAUCAUUUGCACUUCACUAUAGGCCUCUUUGGGAAGAUUUCUUCUGAAGACAUUUCAAAGAAACAUAUUUUUCUCUUCUCUCCGUAAACGGCAGCUGCAAGUCAGUCCAUUCACAGGCCACCGAGUUGAAAAGGCUGGAAAAUUGGCCAAAGCACCCGCCUCCUGGAUUCCAUGGGUAAGGAAAAGGUCACUGGAGGUGUGAUCCCUGUUGGCCUCUUGAUUUCCAUUCCGCCAUCUAUAUGACCUGAUAACCCAAAAACACAGAAGGAAAACGUCACCUGGGUUCAUAGUAAGCAUCAAGUCAUGAUAGAGACCAGACAACAUGACCAACAAAGAGUAGCGAAUGGGGCCAACAUCAAGCCCCAUUACGGUUAGAAGAUGGAAGAAGUAGAAGACAAUCCAAUUCUGAUAGAUUCGGGCAAAUGUAGUGCUGUUCAAACUUAAUCAUUUACUAUUUCUUCAUGAAUCACGGCAUUUUUCUUCUGAAAAUUUUCCAAGAUUAGGCCUCUGAAGAAAAAUUUCAUAUGUAAAUUGGUAUAUUAAGGAAAAGGCGUUACAAAGGUGAAAAAAAACCAAUCAAAUCUUAUAUAUGACAUCUCAAAAAUAUGAACUUGCUAUAAAUAUUUAAAAUCAAAAUCUUGCACAUCACCUCGUAGUACGAACUUGCUAUAAAACUUGAAAAUCAAGAAGAAAGGGGCAGUAUUGGACGAGACUACUUAGCACAUAUUAUUAUGAUGUUUUUUCAUUUUCUUAAUGUUGUUUUUAUGUCUUAAAUUCUAUUAUUCUAUGUUACGGUAAACAUUCAUCUUGUUUGUGUGGAAUAGGAUCACUUUUCUCUGGGUUGAGUCGAUGCCCUUAGUUAAUUUGUUCAUUUGAAUAAACUAAAUUAUUAUAAGUAUUUAGAUAAGAAAAACGUGAUACAUAAAUUACGCCUCUCGGCACAACUUCAACACUGGUUACUCUGUUUCAGUUUCCUCACACAAGAUUAUUGGUUCUAGGGUUUAUUUGGUUUUGGUUUGAUUCUAAUUGCUAAACUUUCUCAAGGAAGAUGUUAUAUAGGGAGUGAGAAACCUUCACUCUUGGCUACCUCCAAGAGAAGAGCAAGUGGUCUGAAUCAAAGAUAUACUGCUCACUUUUUCUUCUUCUAAGGACAGCUAUGACCUUGCUUUAAGGUUCGAAUAGCCUAAUGCAACCUCCCAUUUCUCAAGUCAGCUGAUGAUGUAAGUCACCUUGGCUUUCCACAUUCAUACGGUGAGGACGUUUGUGGGUGUAAUUCUCUUAACAGUUUUCAUUUUAUAUGGAAAAAUUCAUAAUUAAGGGUAAUUACUGAUUCCAUUUGACAGUGACCAAGUUUAAAAUAUUAAUUCAUAUAUUAAAUGCACAUUAAAAAAUCAUGGAAUAAAUAUAUUUACUAAUAUAUAGUUCUUUUGCCAUGUUCUGUCACAGAAGCAUCGAACUUUCCCUAGAAAUUUUUGCAUGGUAUUCUACUUAUGAUUUUGAAAACUCUAGGCACCUGAGGCCACUAAUUGCAUGGUUGGAUGAGGAGCUGCAUGAGAUUAUGUAUCGUGUUGUUCCUUAACUACAAAUAUCAGUUUUAAGUAGCAUCUCCAUGUGACAUUUUCCUGAUGCAAUUUCGCUGUCCACCAACAAAUUUCACCAUGCAGCAAGAUGAAUUGUAAUUUCUUUAUUGUUAUCAACAGCUUUAAUUAAUCUUGAUAUAUAUAUAUAACUUAGUAGAAGUAUAUUAAUCUAGAUUGUAGUUGCACUAAGAUAAUAGGCAAUAUUAUAACAGUGCCACAAUGCUCAUCGCCAAAUAGAAAGGUAGAAAAACUACAAUGAGUAACUCACAACAUUCUCAAACAGGACAUAGCGGCGACUGAUACAUAGAACACUAUUGGCACUCAGGAAAUGAUAAGAUCAGUGCCCAGCAGGCAGCACGUCUUAUUUUACAUACUACUUAAAACUAACCAAAGUCAUUCAGUUGGGAUGGGUGGGAGAUGGUGGUUUGUGCGGUGGCUUUUGGGUAGUUGGUGGCUUCUUUCCUGGAACUGAUGGUUUUUUUGUUGGAGUUGAAGGAGGCUUAAUCGUCUGAGGUGGCUUGUAUGAGUCUUCAGCACUCUCUGCGGGAGGGUGCCCAGGGUUGUGACCAUAAUGGGGUGGCUUCUCUCCCUUAGUUGGUUUGCCAAGUGGGCUGGCUGGCUUGUGCUCCGGGAGCGGCUUCUCUCCCUUAGGUGGUUUGCCAAAUGGGCUUGCUGGCUUGUGCUCUGGGAGCGGCUUCUCUCCCUCAAGAAGUUUACGGGUUUUGUCAGAUGGCUUGUGUUCUGGUGGUGGCUUCUCUCCUUGGGGUGGUUUGCCAAAUGGACUUGGUGGCUUGUGUUCGGGGAGUGGCUCCUCUCCCUUGGGAGGUUUAGUUGGUGGCUGGUGUUCCAUAGGUGGUUUCUCAACCGGGGGCUUGUUCUCCGUUGGUGGUUUAUGAACUGGGGGAUGCUUGGGGUAGUCAGCAAGAGACGGGGUGGUGAGAACCACCAGUCCCAGCAGCAACACUAGCAAGUAUGUGGAAGAGUACAUCUUUGAGUUCAGGCUGAGAUUUGUGCGAGACUUGAAGAAUUAGGUGGCCUUUUAUAGCUGGCUGCACCCAACACUCACAUGACACGUAUCAUGGUGACACAUGUGCUAUGGGUCCAUUUGGGUCCUACAGAAGCUGAAAACUUUUGACUAUUGAGGUGUGGUCACAACUUUUGUCCCUAUUGCUUUCUCCGCAACCGUUUUACAUGUUUCCUUUGGCAUAAUUUUCUAAGCUAAACAAGCAUAUAUCAUAUUUGGUUAAGAAAGAGUAAAGUGUAUAUGGCACACAUCAAGGAAGAGAAACAGAAAAAGUGGGAGACAAUCAAUUGUGAUAAACAGAUAUAUUAUAUUCAUGUAGUACUAGUGACUUUAUCAUUUACUUUUAUCCAAUAGAUCAUCACUCUUUCUUCUAAAUAUUUUGGAGGAUAAUGGUACAUGUUGCUUGUUUCCAAGUCAAAAUUGGUGGCAAAAAUCGGCAUGAUACGAAAGGAUUGGUGAAAAGAUUCACAUAGAUGGUGCUUUGUGCAAUGCAGUCUUGCUCUAAUUCAACAGAGUGGACCAUGGUGAUGUAUUUUAAAUUUUAAAUUUUAAAUUAAUGCAUGCUUCAAAGUUUUAACUAGAUGUCACUUCCAUGGAUUUUUGUUCAUUUAAUUGAGCACAGGAUAGGCUAUCAAACUUGAAGUAAUAUAAAAAUCCCUUCAUUACUGUAACUAAUGAAAGAUCAUUAUCUGCGCUUGGUAUUUUGCCAAGGUAUUUGCUGCUCUUUCUAGCCCUGUCUUACAGUUAAGGACAAUGUGAUCUAGUUAACCUUAGAAGCUAUUCCAUGUCAGAUACAAGAGAUCAAGCACAUUAUCUUUGGGCUCAGUUCAAAACUAUAAUAUAUGGGUGGGGUGGAGGCCCAUAUCAUUUGCAUAUCACCACUAUUGGUUUAGUUUGGAAGGUUUCUUCUGGAAGAUUGCUGCUUUCUGGAAUCAUUUCAAAGAAAUAUAUCUUUUUGUUCUCUUGGUGACGAGCAGCGGCAAUCAAGUCUGUUGACAAACAACCGAGUUGAAAAGUUUGAAAAUUGGUCACAGCCCACGUCCAUGGUUAAGGAAAAGGUCACUGGAAGUGAUCCCUUCUGGGCCUCUUGAUUUCCAUUCUGACAUCUAUAUGACCUGAUAAAUAGAAAGAAAAAAAAACAGAAGAAAAGCGGCACCCGGGUUCAUAGUAAGCAUCAAGACAGGAUACUGAAAGAAGGGAGAAAGGAGAUUGCAAGUCCAAUCCUGAUAAAAUGAUCAACAAAGAGUAUCAAAAUGGGGCCAACAUAAAGACCCAUUGAGGUUAGCAGAUGGCAUGGCAUUUUUCUCCUUAAGUUUUCCAUGAUUAGACUUGAAGUCAAAAUUUCACAUGUAAAUUUGUAUUUCUACAUUUCCCACUGACGACACCCAACUUCAACUUGAGUUAGAAUAACAUUGUGUGAACUUAUCUGGCCCUCAAAAUUUACUGUGAAGUGCUUUCUGCGUGUGAAGAUUCAGAAAAGCACCAAGGGAACAUGUAUGGUCUGCCUUUUUCUGAUGUUAUGUUUGUCUCUAAUUCUGUUCCAUGUCAUGGUAAAUGUUCACAUUGCUUGUAUGGAACACACCAGGAUCACUUUUUCGGGUUUAUUUUGAGGCUUCAUAUUGGGUUCAUAUUGGGUUCAAUGCUUUUAAUGUGUUCAUUAGACAAAUCUGAAUUAUCAUAUGCAUUUAGAUAAGAACAAUAAUGUGAAACCCUAGUUACACCUCCCCUGCAUAACCCCAACCCUGCUUACUCUAUUUCAGUUUACUCACACAAGUUUUACCGGUUCUUAUAAGUCAAGAAAAGGCAACUGAUGUUGGAUUGACUCUCUUCCAUGUAUAAAAAGCAACUUUUAUAUAUACAUAAAAUAACUUCUUCCCCUCACCAAUGUGGGAUAUCAUGGAUUUAUUCUGGAAACACAUCAAAGGAACAUCUUUUCUCUUGGGUGACCCUAAGUGGUGAGUCAGACCAUUUGCAUGCCAUUGAGUUGCACAGUUGGAUAAAUGCACCUACCUCCUGGGCUCCAGAGUUAAAAGGGUGGAUCCCUGGAUCGCAACCCUCUUGGCAUCUUGGUUUCCAUUCCAACAUCCACAUGACUUGACAAAACAAAAAACAGAAUAAAAUCAUCACUAUUUUCAUGCUAAGCACCAAUACAUGAUGGAAAUCAUUGCUUAAAGAUUUGGGGUCAUUUAGGUUUUGACUGCCUCCUAACACCUCACCUAAUCACAAGUUUUUAUGCUUACAAAUCAAAUAUCGUUCUUCAUUAUAUUAAAAUCAUUUUAAGAUUUCAGAUCCAUCUGCUAAUUAUGAUUAUGAUAACAUUAAUUCACCUGUGCUUCUCAUUUUCGACACACAAGGCAUCUAGGUUUGCAGGAUUUCCUUAUUAGAUGAGAUAAAUGAGUACGCAUGGUUAUGUAUGCAGCAUUCAUUAACCAUGGUAUGUGACAUUUAGAAUUAAGAUAGCAAGCAAACUUUCCCUGCAGCUUGAGUAAAUUGUGAUUUCUUAGCCUCUAUGAGUGGUUCCCAAAUCAAAUUAACAUAGUGAAAUAUACGUAGUCCAGUGAAAGGAAAUGUAAAUUAUAAACUAACAGCACUACACUACUGGUAACACUCGAUACUCUCUAUAUAAUGCAAUGAAAUAUACGUUAUACGUUGCUUGUUCCAAGUCAAAAUUUGUGGCCAAACGUUGGCCUUUUUUCAUUUUCCCUAAGAUUAAUGCUCACCUGGGAUAGGCACUACAUGAUUUAUCUGCUCUUUUACUGUAAAGUUGCUUUGUGUAUGAGUUACACCUCCCCUGCACACCCUCAACAUUUGUUGCUCUGUUUUCCUUGUGUCCAGACGAGGAUAUUAAGUGGGGGCUGACAAAACGACUGCUAGCCAAGGAUUUACAAGGUCCUGGUUUGACGCUUCCGCGAAAGUAUUUUUGAAAAUAUACACAUAGAGAUUGCGCGUUCGGUGCAAUGCAACAAUGUGAGCCAUUCUGAAGUUUUUAAUUUCAGAUUAAUGAAUGCUACAAAAUUCUAAGAAGGGCCGUUUCCAAAUAUUUGAGUUCAUUUAUCCGAACAUCGGAUAAGUAAUGAUCAUAGAUUAUUAUUAUUAUCUGACGUUCUUAUAAUGGUUGGCAUUAUAAGAGGGUAUAUGCUUCUUUCUCUAGCCCCUCCUUCAAGGGAGGGACAAUGUGAUCUGUAUCGUUAGAAGCUAUUCCAUGUCGUCAUCUUUUGGCUUAAGUCAAUACUAAAAUAUAUGGGCGGGGCCCCUGUCAUUUUAUAUUUCUUCUAGAAGGUUUGUUCUGGAAAUCUUUCACCGAAACAUAUCUUUUUCUUCUCUACGUGAUCCGUGGUUGGAAAGUUAGAAAAAUGGGUCCGUUCACAAGCCACCGAGUUGAAAAGUUGGAAAAAUGGCAACACCGCCAACCUCUUGUAUUCGAUAGUUAAAUAAAAGGUCACUGGAAGUGAGAUCCCUUUUGGCCUCUUGAUUUUCAUCCCAGCAUCUCUAUGUCCUGAUAAACUAAAAAACUAAAAAAAAAACAGUACGUGGGUUGGUGUUAAGCAUCAAGAGUCAAGACAUGAUAAUGGAGAGAAAGGAUAUUCAAAUUCCAGUUCUGACAACAUGAUUUUCUUUCCUGAACAACCAUGUUAUAUUUGAUCAAGAAAGAGUAGUGCAUGUGGCCAGGAUCAAGACAUACAUUAAUUUCCACAUGAUGAAGACAGUUUCUGAGAGUUUCUUCUAAAGCUCUUGCGCUAGUAGGCUUCAAGUCAAAAUUUCCCAUGUAAACACUGGAUUUUCUUUAAUUGCCACUAAGGAUACAGUUAAAAUUGACUUAAAAUCCUACGUGAUAUAUAUCUUUAACAAAAGUAUAUUGUAUAUAAUAUUUGAAAUAAUGUUGAUUCGUUGUGGAAAUAUGUUUGUAAGGAAAGUUGUUGACAAUUUAAUAUAGUAUAAGAAGAAAAAAGUUAUCAACUAGAGAUGAGUAUGUAAAGUGAGGCUCACGAUUCAACGCGUAAAUAUAAGAUAUUUUAAGGCUCAAUAGUUAUGAUAUCUAUUUUAUUUUUUGUAUCCCAUAUAUUCAAAGAUACAGUAAAAUGAUUUUAUAUAUAUGAACAUAGCCGAUAGUAUCAUGUUAAAACCUUAUAUGACUCUUUGUGCCAAUUGAUUUUUAUCUUUAUUUUGUGUAUUAGUAAUUAGUAUUAAAGUUUUUACUAACAUAAUAAUUGAUAUAAAAGCUUUUUCCAAAAGAGUCAAACAGAGCAAAACACUUAUUAUAAAAAGAAUUUUGAUUGAAGGUGGAGUCAAUUAUUCUUUAUUCAACAUGUGAUGCAUACAGCGGGUACUUCAUAACUAAAGUAUAUAAGUGCAACAUCUCUUAUACAUUCUCAUUCAAUCUCGAAAGUGGAAAAUUUUAAAAGAUUAAAUGGUUCAAAUUUUCCGUGCAUAAAGGGGAUCAUGUCACAUAACCAAACCAUGGCAUACCAAAGCCAUGAUAUGGACUAAGAAUUUUGUUAAAAUAAGUUUCUUAUUAGGGCACAUUAUGUGACUAUUUAUGACAUAUCAAAGGAGUCAAGUGCAUCAAUAAAGACAUAGAAAAUUCAUGCAUCACAUGUACCACUAAGAGAAAAUUGACUUGAUAGAGUUUAGUCCAAAUAGGAGAUUGUUAAAAGGUGCAUCAAAUUCUUGAUUGAUAUAUAUUUUUUUUAUUAGAAAGGUUAUUAUAUAGAUAUUUCAAUAGACUAUUAAUCCUUUGUAAAAAUAGUUAUAUAAUGAGGAUGGUGAUUAAAAAUAUCUCUAUCAAUAUUUUGGAUUAUAAAAAGAAAAAAAAUAUGAGAAAAUGAUAAACAUAUAAAACUUGUACAAGUAGAUAGAGAUGUGAUGAAAGACACUUGAUGAAUGGAGGCCUUGUAUUUCAAGAUGUAAAUAUAUGGAGCAAAACUCUUAAUUAUAUGAUCAAAUGAUUCUCUCAUAUUCAUGAACAUAAGCAGGAUUGGGGAACCAUGAUAGAAUCUUAUAUGCCUCUCCAUGUAGAUUGAUCGAUGUUUAUCUUCAUAUUUUACACCAAUGAAUGACAUUGAAACUCUGAUUGAUAAAAGGGAAAAAGCAUGGCCUCCACCACAAGAAAAACAAGUAACCUCGGUCUAAAUCACUAGUCUACACCCCGAAGAGAGAACUAGCCAAACCUACUAAAAGAGAAACUUACCAAUUUAGAAAGAAAUCUUCCAUGAUAAAGGGCCCCUAAAAGUCCAAUUCAGUCAGGUUGUGAACAAAAACACCUUCAUGUCAAAACAGGAAUAGGUACCACCAAAAUGUAAAGGGAAAGAUGUAAACCAAGUCGAACUUUGGUAAACAAUGGUAAAGAUAGCAUGAUAGCUAAAAGCACUAAAGCUGUGCUUGGUAUGCAAAAAUGAAAAGUGGAAAUCAGCGUCUUAUUCUUUUUCUCCUUUAUUCACAUAUUAGGAUAACUAAUAUCUAAUGUUUUUUUUAUGUCUCAAAUUCUAUUCCAUGUUAUGGUAAACUUUCAUCUUGUUUAAGUGGAAGAGUAGGAUCACUUUUGUCUGGUUUGGGCUCAAGACGAUAAGCCUAUAGAGACUUCAUAUUGGGUUGAAUUGAUGCCCUUGAUCCGAUCAGUUCGUUAGAAAAAUCUGAAUUAUUAUAAGCAUUUAGAUAAAAUAAAUAAAUAAAUGUGAAACAGAGACUAUUCUCUGCACAACCUUGACCCUAGUUACUCAGUUUCACUGCUCACGGGACUAACCUCUCCAUUCAGUCGAAAUGAAUUGUAAUUUCUUUACUGGUAGCAGUAGUACUUUUCAUAGCAAAGAUAAUAGUAAAUAUGAAAUAUAAAUAUAUAGAAGGAAAUCUGGAUUGUAGAUAGCACCAUAAGUAACACUCAAUAUUUACUACAUAAUAAAAGAGAUAGUGUUACAAAGGUAGAGAAACCUACAAUGAGUACUCAUCACCAUUCUCAAACAGAAACAUAGCAGUGACUUAUACAUAGAACCUAUAGGCUCGCAGGGAAAGAGUAACAUGAUAAGUGCACAGCGGGUAGCAGCUCUUAUUUUACGUAUUACUCAAAAUCUCAAACUAACCAAAGUCACUCAGUUGGGAUGGGUAGGAGAUGGUGGUUUGUGGGGUGGCUUCUGGGUAGGAGCUGGUGGCUUCUUUGUUGGAGUUGAAGGAGGCGUAAUCUUCUGAGGUGGCUUGUAUGAGUCUUUGGCACUCUCUGCAGGAGGGUGCCCAGGGUUGUGACCGGAAGGAGGUGGCUUCUGUCCCUUUGGUGGUUUGCCUAAUGGGCUUGGUGGCUUGUGCUCCGGGAGUUGUUUCUCUCCCUCGAGUAGGUUUCGAGUUUUGUCAGAUGGCUUGUGUUCUGGUGGUGGCUUCUCUCCCUGGGGUGGUUUGCCGAAUGGGCUUGGUGGCUUGUGUUCGGGGAGUGGCUUCUCUCCCUUGGCAGGUUCAGUUGGUGGCUGGUGCUCCGUAGGUGGUUUCUUCACCGCCGGCUUCUCUCCCUGGAGAAGGUUACGAGUUUUGUCAGAUGGCUUCUGUUCUGGUGGCGGCUUCUCUCCCUGGGGUGGUUUGCCAAAUGGGCUUGGUGGCUUGUGUUCGGGAACUGGCUUCUCUCCCUUGGCAGGUUCAGUUAGUGGCUGGUGUUCCGUAGGUGGUUUCUUCACCGGCGGCUUGUGCUCCGGAAGCGGCUUCUCUACCUGGAGAAGCUUACGAGUUUUGUCAGAUGGCUUGUGUUGUGGUGGUGGCUUCUCUCCCUGGGGUGGUUUGCCAAAUGGACUUGGUGGCUUGUGUUCGGGGAGUGGCUUCUCUCCAUUGGGAGGUUUAGUUGGUGGUUGGUGUUCCGUAGGUGGUUUCUGAAGUGGGGGAUGCUUGGGGUAGUCAGCAAGAGACGAGGUAGUGAGAACCACCAGUCCCAGCAGCAAUACUAGCAAGGAUGUGGAAGACAUCUUUGAGUUCAGGCUGAGAUUUGUGCAAGGCUAGAAGAAUUAGGUGGCCUUUUAUAGCGGGCUGGACCCAACAACCAAAUGACACGUAUCAUGAUACACAUAUGUGUUAUAAGAUCCUUGUGGGUCCUACAGAAGUUGAAAACUUUGACAAUUGAGGUGUGAUUACAACUUUUGUCCCUAUUGCUUUCUCGUCAGCCGUUUUGCAAGAUUUUUGACAGGAGGACGGUAGUUUAAAAUAAUAAUUUCUAAAGUACUUUUGUGAAAAAAAAUAAUUCCAAACGUGGAUUUUAUCAAGUAAAAAAAACAAAAAAAAGUUAUUUUCUUUUAAAAUCUUUUCUUCAUGAUUCAUAUACCAAAAAAAGAAUUGUUUUCUGUAGGUAAAAUUUUUAAAAUUCAUUUUUAAAAAAAAAAAAUUACACACUAAAAUUAUCUCUUCAAGAAAAUAUUUUUUAAAUUUUAAAUAAUUAUUAAUUUAUAAUUAAUUUUUUAUUAAUUAUUUAUUAAAUUUAUAUGUGAAAAAUGCAUUUAUAAAAAACAAAUUUUUUAUUAAUUUAUUAAAUAAUUAUUUACAAAAUAAAUAAUUUUGCUUUAUUUUAAUUUUAAAAUUAAUUUUAUUAUAUAAAUUUUAAAAUUAAAAAUAUUAAUAUUUAAUUUAAAAUUUAACUAUAAAAGGAAUAAAAUAUAGAAAAAUAAAUUAAUUUAUUAUUCAAUAAAUUAAUUUUCAAUAAAAUUUUCAGCAUUAAGAGAUAAAUUUUUAAGUAUUAAUCAAUUUAAAAAAUAAUAAUAAUCAUUUGUAUACUAAGAUAUUUUAUUUAGUAAUUAUGAAUGAUAAACAACUAAAGUAAUUUGAAAAAAUAAUAAAAUAUUUAAAAAUAAUAAUUUAAUACACUUAAAAUUAGAAAUGAUUAACUAUUUUUUAUUAAGAAAAAAUUGAAGAAAUAUUUUGUUAUUUAAAAUUUUUUAUUUGUUUUCAAUUUUAAAUGUUAUAGGUUUCAAGAAAAUUGAUCAAAUAAAAAUUAAGAAGUCAUUUUUUCAAAAACUAUAUAUCUAAAUAAAAGCCUUGAAAUUCAAAUACACAAUAUCAUAAAUAUAAACACCAAGUCAAUCCUUAAUUAUCAAAUGUUUUUAAUAUUAAAGAAUCAAAAUCACCUACUAUCAUGAUAAUAAGAAAACCAAUAAUAUUGUUCAUAUAAAUACUAAAAAGCUAACAAAUAUCCCAAACAAUUAAUAAAGUAUCAAACAUGAUAAAAAGUCAAUUAUUAUCAUGAAUGCAAAAAAUCAAUAAUUUUGUUUAUAUGAACCAUCAACAAAGAAAAAAAAAAUCAAUAUCUAAAUAUUAAACAUAAUUUAUAUUUUUAUAAAUAUUAUUGUUGAUAAAUAUCUUAAUAAUUAUAAUUUUUUAUAUAUUAAAUUUAGUAAAUAAAAUUAAUUAAUUUUAUAAUAUAAGAUAUAUAUAAUAAUUAAGAGACUAUUUGUCCCAAACAAUUUAUUUAUUUUUUUUUUAGGAAAUUGUCUCUUCAAGAGACGACUUCUCCCAACAUUUUUAAAAAAAAAAAAAAAAACAUCUAUUCAAAAGACGAUUUCUCCUCAUUUUUUAAAAAUGAAUUUUAGAAAUCAUAUUUUCAAAAAUGAAUUUUAGAAAUCAUAUUUUCAAAAGACGAUUUUUUUUUAUAUAAAUUAUUUUUUAAAAUGACGAUUUUAAAAGGAAAUAACGAUCUCUCUCCUACUUGGCAAAAACUAUGGUAAAUUUGGAAUUAUUUCUUCCACAACCAUAGUUUAAGAAUUAUUUUUUUAUACUUUCGUAGACUUAUCAAAAAUCCCUAUUUUGCAUGUCUCAUUUGGCAUGACUUUCUUACCUAAACAAGCAUAUAUAUAUAUAUAUAUAUAUAUAUCACUUUUGUCUGGGUUGAGUCAAUGCCCUUAACUAAUUUGUUCAUUUGAAUAGUCUAAAUUAUUAUAAGCUUUUAGUUAAGAAAAAUGUGAAACAUAAAUUACACCUCUCGGCACAACUUCGACACUGGUUACUCUGUUUCAGUUUAUUCACACAAGAUUAUUGGUUCUAGGGUUUAUUUGGUUUUGGUUUGAUUCUAAUUGCUAAACUUUCUCAAGGAAGAUGUUAUAUAGGGAGUGAGAAACCUUCACUCCUGGCUACCUCCAAGAGAAGAGCAAGUGGUCUGAAUCAAAGAUAUACUGCUCACUUUUUCUUCUUCUAAGGACAGCUAUGACCUUGCUUUAAAAUGUUCGAAUAGCCUAAUGCAACCUCCCAUUUCUCAAGUCAGCUGAUGAUGUAAGUCACCUUGGCUUUCCACAUUCAUACGGUGAGGACGUUUGUGGGUGUAAUUCUCUUAACAGUUUUCAUUUUAUAUGGAAAAAUUCAUAAUUAAGGGUAAUUACUGAUUCCAUUUGACAGUGACCAAGUUUAAAAUAUUAACUCAUGUAUUAAAUGCACAUUAAAAAAUCAUGGAAUAAAUAUAUUUACUAAUAUAUAGUUCUUUUGUCAUGUUCUGUCACAGAAGCAUCGAACUUUCCCUAGAAAUUUUUGCAUGGUAUUCUGCUUAUGAUUUUGAAAACUCUAGGCACCUAAGGCCACUGAUUGCAUGGUUGGAUGAGGAGCUGCAUGAGAUUAUGUAUCCUGUUGCUCCUUAACUACAAAUAUCAGUUUUAAGUAGCAUCUCCAUGUGACAUUUUCCUGAUGCAAUUUCGCUGUCCACCAACAAAUGUCUCCAUGCAGCUAGAUGAAUUGUAAUUUCUUUGUUGUUAUCAACAGCUUUAAUUAAUCUUGAUAUAUAUAUAACUUAGUAGAAGUAAUUAAUCUAGAUUGUAGUUGCACUAAGAUAAUAGGCAAUAUUAUAACAGUGCCACAAUGCUCAUCGCCAAAUAGAAAGGUAGAAAAACUACAAUGAGUAACUCACACAACAUUCUCAAACAGGACAUAGCGGCGACUGAUACAUAGAACACUAUUGGCACUCAGGAAAUGAUAAGAUCAGUGCCCAGCAGGCAGCACGUCUUAUUUUACAUACUACUUAAAACUAACCAAAGUCAUUCAGUUGGGAUGGGUGGGAGAUGGUGGUUUGUGCGGUGGCUUCUUUCCUGGAACUGGUGGUUUUUUUGUUGGAGUUGAAGGAGGCUUAAUCGUCUGAGGUGGCUUGUAUGAGUCUUCAGCACUCUCUGCAAGAGGGUGCCCAGGGUUGUGACCAUAAUGAGGUGGCUUCUCUCCCUUAGGUGGUUUGCCAAGUGGGCUGGCUGGCUUGUGCUCCGGGAGCGGCUUCUCUCCCUUAGGUGGUUUGCCAAAUGGGCUUGCUGGCUUGUGCUCUGGGAGCGGCUUCUCUCCCCCAAGAAGUUUGCGGGUUUUGUCAGAUGGCUUGUGUUCUGGUGGUGGCUUCUCUCCUUGGGGUGGUUUGCCAAAUGGACUUGGUGGCUUGUGUUCGGGGAGUGGCUCCUCUCCCUUGGGAGGUUUAGUUGGUGGCUGGUGUUCCGUAGGUGGUUUCUCAACCGGGGGCUGGUGCUCCGUAGGUGGUUUAUGAACUGGGGGAUGCUUGGGGUAGUCAGCAAGAGACGGGGUGGUGAGAACCACCAGUCCCAGCAGCAACACUAGCAAGUAUGUGGAUGACAUCUUUGAGUUCAGGCUGAGAUUUGUGCAAGACUAGAAGAAUUAGGUGGCCUUUUAUAGCUGGCUGCACCCAACACUCACAUGACACGUAUCACGGUGACACAUGUGCUAUGGGAUCCAUUUGGGUCCUACAGAAGUUGAAAACUUUUGACUAUUGAGGUGUGAUCACAACUUUUGUCCCUAUUGCUUUCUCCGCAACCGUUUUACAUGUUUCCUUUGUGGUGUUUAAUAGUGUUUUUUUCCUUAAUUCUAAAUAAACCUUAAUACUUAAUAAUGUUAAAUAUUAGGUUAUUUAUUUUUAUAAUAUUUUAUUUAUAUUAAGUAUUAAAAAGUAAAGAAAAAUCAAUAUAUUUAUUUUUCUAUUUAGAAAAAACUAUAUAUUUUUAAUUUUUUUAUUUAAUAAAAAAUUUAUAAUAAAUCAUGAAAAAAUAGAAAAACAAACAACCUAAAUUUUAAAAAUAAAUUGUUUUUAGUAAAAACCCAAAAAAACAAACACCACCUUAACUAAACAAAUAUAUAUUAUAUUUAGUUAAGAAAGAGUAAAGUGUAUAUGGCUCAAAUCAAGGAAGAGAAACAGAAUAAGUGGAAGACAAUCAAUUGUGAUAAACAGAUAUAUUACAUGCAUGUAGUACUAGUGACUUUAUCAUUUACUUUUAUACAAUAGAUCAUCACACUCUUUCUUCUAAAUAUUUUGGAGGAUAAUGGUACAUGUUGCUUGUUGCCAAGUCAAAAUUGGUGGCAAAAAUCGGCAUGAUACGAAAGGAUUGGUGAAAAGAUUCACAUAGAUGGUGCUUUGUGCAAUGCAGUCUUGCUCUAAUUCAACAGAGUGGACCAUGGUGAUGUAUUUUAAAUUUUAAAUUUUAAAUUAAUGCAUGCUUCAAAGUUUUAACUAGAUGUCACUUCCAUGGAUUUUUGUUCAUUUAAUUGAGAACAGGAUAGGCUAUCAAACUUGAAGUAAUAUAAAAAUCCCUUCAUUACUGUAACUAAUGAAAGAUCAUUAUCUGCGCUUGGUAUUUUGCCAAGGUAUUUGCUGCUCUUUCUAGCCCUAUCUUACAGUUAAGGACAAUGUGAUCUAGUUAACCUUAGAAGCUAUUCCAUGUCAUAUACAAGAGAUCAAGCACAUUAUCUUUGGGCUCAGUUCAAAACUAUAAUAUAUGGGUGGGGUGGGGGCCUAUACCAUUUGCAUAUCACCACUAUUGGUUUAGUUUGGAAGGUUUCUUCUGGAAGAUUGCUUUCUGGAAACAUUUCAAAGAAAUAUAUCUUUUUGUUCUCUUGGUGACGAGCAGCGGCAAUCAAGUCUGUUGACAAACAACCGAGUUGAAAAGUUUGAAAAUUGGUCACAGCCCACGUCCAUGGUUAAGGAAAAGGUCACUGGAAGUGAUCCCUUCUGGGCCUGUUGGAAGCAGGGGAGGUUAACACACCAAGCAACAAAGAACAGAGAUAUGCUGCUACUGAUCUAUAUUUUUUAUUUGAUCAUAAGGCUAAAUUUAUACAGAUUGUGUAACAGAUAUGACCUCAAAAAAAAGCAUCAAAUCAAGCUACUUGUUGAACAAACAACUACCUUCUACAAAAUAACAUCAAAAUUUAACUUAAAAGCAAAAACAUAAAAAUAGCAACAGCAAAAAUAGAAACAUAAAAAUAGCUUCAGCAUUCUAGUAAUCUCGUUGACUUCAAUUGCAUGUGGUUGACGAUUUCAGCCUUUUCCUCAGCAGCUACUAAGGCAUAACUCUCAACACUCCUCCUUGACUUAGGAGGUGCAAACUCCAAGUCUUUCUCAUAGAAACUCAAAUCUUAUUUUAGGAAGAGCUUUAGUCAGAAUAUCUACAUUUUGACUGUCUGUAUUGCAGUAGACUAGUUGUAUAUCUCCUUCUUUCUGUACUUCCCUCAAAAAUUACAAUUUAAUCUUGAAGUGCUUUGUUUUACCAUGAAAAACUGGAUCAUUUGCAAUAGAUAUAGUGGCCUGGUUGUCUACAAACACCUUUGUACUCACUUCUUGCUUCAUAUCCAAAUCUGUCAGCAACUUUCCAAGCCAUAAGGCUUGAUUUACAGCUGUAACAGCAGCAAUAUACUCUGCCUCAGCUGUGGAUUG